rnacentral:lncRNA from 1 species
GAGGGAGGAGGAGGAGGAGGAGGUGCGUAGGAUAGCGUCGAGGGUGCAGGAUAAAAGGGGGAGUGGAGAGGAGACUUUUUGGUGUGGUGUUAAUGUAGAGAGAGAGAGAGGGUUGGCAUGACUGGGCUACGCUACGUGGCUUUAAUGUUACUUUUUUUUUAAUUGACUAAUGGGCUUAGAUCUGGGGCCCAUUAAAAAUUCUCCCUCGCUAUUAUUUUUGAUUUUUUUAAAUGUAUAAUAGUGUUUGUUAUUCACUUUUACCAAAUUUAAUUAAUUUUUAAUUUAUGUUUAGAUUACAUCCUUAAAUAUGUUUGCUUAUUUAAAAAUUAUUUUAUUAAUUUCAAUGUUUUAUUUUAAUUACAUACUAUAACAUUUUAUGUGGAUGUGAUGUGGGAUAUUUUUAGUAUGACUAAAGUUACAGUUAUUGAUAGGCAAUGUUCUUGUACCUGUAAAAAUGUAUUUAAAUGAUUCAUACUAGUCAAUAUUUCCUUCAAAUUUCCAUUUUACGACACCUUAGUAUACUGUUUAUCAAUAAGACUAUUACUAUGUUAUUUUUCUGAAUUUGAUCGGGAUCCAUUGUCUACUUCAACAUUUACCUUUAUCAAUAUUUACAUUAAAUAUUGUAUUAUUCACAUUGAUGUUUCUAGUCUUGCCUAACAUUAACUACUGGUCUUCAGACUGUUAGGUUAGGUUGAUUGACAAAACAUAAGUUAUUGAUAAAAGAAUUGGAGGGUGGCAACUUAAUUUUUAAAAGUAUGGCGUUGUUAAGAGCUGAUGAUGACAGUUGGUUCUAACCUAAAGUCUUUAUUAUUCUUUGUCUUUGAGCUGAUAAGAGAUACUCAUGAUAAUUCAUAAACUUAAGCCAAUCCCAUAUACAAUAUAAUUUUAUUAAAUAUAUUAUAUGUAACCUGCUAUUCAAAUAACUAGCCUUCUCUUUUAAAUACUAUAGGAUGUAAAAUGAUUUAAAUGAUUAACCACUGAGAAGGCUAACUAUAUAAUAGUUUGUAGUAAAACGUUUCGAAGCAGUCUGCCUGUAGUAGAAUCGAGUAUUUUGAAGUAAUCUACGAAUGCGUAAAACAUUUUUAUUUAUAAAAAAAUCGUAAAAUUUGAACAAAUAAAAGUCUUAGGCACUGGAAUAUUUGUAAGUAGCUGGAAAUAAUAAUGUUUCUUUUUGCCCUCUAGGUGUCACUGGAUAUGAACCAGACUUGGUACAUAAUUAAACAAAAGUUGCGAAUGUAAAUGAGAAGAUGCUCCAAAAUCCAGUAGCGUGACUUCAUUAUCCUCCCCAACAAUGUAUUGCAAGACGUAGUAGGGCUUGGCCUUGGUAUUGUCAGGGCUACGUAUCCACCUUUCACGACAUGUAGCGAUUUUCUUCUCAUCAUCCACCAAGAAACUUGUCCGGGUGCAAUAGCCAAGACGAGGAUCAUCCAAAGCGAAGAUCUUGCUCCACGACACAGCUUUGGAAUCAUCAAUAGAACUGCUUAUCCAUAUCUCUAUCUCGUUUCCAAGUCUAUCAUGGGGUCGUAAUAAUACUGAAAGCUUCUCUUCUCUAACAACCGAUAGAGACACAGUAUGGAGUCUACAAUACGGGCCAGGAAGGCACAGACGUCCAAAUCUCUCUGUUGUAUAAUCAAAGCUCAGUAAAUGCAUGCACGCAUCAAACUCUUUUGAAUCCGAAGCACACCAGUAGGUCUUUCCUUUCAAAUACACGCUGUAAUGAGGAACCUGUAAUAGGCAGUCUGGAGUGACAUCAUGAGGAAUCCUCCAGCAUAAAUCGGAGUUGAUCUCACAGAUUUCAAAUAUUAGCUUCUCGUAACAAGGCACGUGUCUCAAUAAUUUAUAGCUAUAAUUAUUUUCUUGGUAGCACCUUCGAAGAGUAUAAGUUACCCAAUACAUGACACGAUCGGUGGGAUCGGUGAUCCACUUGGUUUGACCAGUACACGGGUUCCAAACCACGAUUCUAUUGUAGCUUUCGCUGGUGCAUAACAACAAGCCAUCGCAGUGAAAGGCAUGAGAUAUCCUGAAUUGAGCUGAACAAAGCGGAUCUAUUAGUCCAAGCUCACCACGGAAUGAGCAAAGCCUAUAUUCCUCCGUUAGCUUGAGAACCAUAUAUUGCUUUGGGGCUUUAUCAAAGUGAUUUUUUGCGAAUCUCCUAUCGUUGAAUAUACCGUUCCAUAGUUUGCAUGUUGAUCGUAAACGUUUCAGACAUGUGGCCGGAACACGACUUAGUAUCUCCUCUACUAAAUUAUCUGGCAACAUCGUCAUCAUUGUCUCUUAAUUUUUUUUCUCUGUGUAAACAUAGGUGAUGACCAUAUAUCCUUUAUAUAUAUAUAUAUAUGGUCAUUGUCUUUUUUUUCACAAAUAAAAAAGUAAAUAAACAAAAACAUUUCCUUUUAUUAUUUUGUUAAGAAUAAUUUAUUGGAAAAAUAGAUUUAAAAGAGGAAUUGGAUUGCAUAUACUGUACAUAAUAACUCCAAAAAUUAAUUGUGUGACUAUACAAUACUUUGAACAUGCUAUCUCUAUAAUAUUAUUUGAGAAGUCAGUUUCUUAUGUGUCGUUUUCACGUUAACUCUCACGAUGAUUGAUUACACUGAUACUCUUAAUGAAUUUAAAAUAUUACAUUUAAAAUACUAUUAUUUAUUUUUAUAUAUAGUUUCCUUUUUAAAAUUUUCCAAAAAACAUUUACAUAUAAUAAAAAAGGAAAUCUUUUACAAACUUAAAAAAACGAAUUGAAAAAUGAAAAUAGUAAUAUUACAUUUAAAAAAUAUUUUUAAAUGACAUAAAAUAUACUUUUGAAGUAAUAAAAUACUUUUUUGAUAUCUAUAUUUUCUUAGAUGAAAAAUAUAAAUUUGUAUAUAAUUAAUUGAGAUUGCUAUUAUUAGUAGAUUCUAUCCAAAUAAUUAACUAAUUGCUUUUAGUUAAAAAAUAUCCUUUGUAUAUGUUCCUAAAUAAUUUUUGGAAGAGGAGGAAACAACGGCAAAAGUUAAGGAUAUAAACCACAGUUUAUAUGGAUGUUAACGAAUGAAGCUUUCACAUCUGCAAAUUUACAAUAUACAGAGAGUUUCUUCCCCGGCUUUGCAGAUGUGAGUUUGAUAUGUUCCAUCACGAUGUUAUGACACCCUUGAUUUUCAUCGCAGUCUAGCUUUAUUGCAAUUUUACUUGCUGAAGUCCCUUCAAUAUAUCUGAAUGUUACGUCGCUUACUUUCACCGCAUUCCCCUACAAUAUUCAUAAAACAUAUAUAUGCGUUCAAUAAAAAAUAUGAAUUGAACGUAAAACUCAUACCUAAAGGAAAACUAUUGUAAGAUUUGCACACUUAUGUUUUAGCAAAAAAAUAAAAGAUUUGCAGACUUAUGUCGUGAUCGUAAGAUACCAAAGGUGAAGCAUAUUGUAAUUUAGUCAUAUGGUUUUAUUACCAAUUGGUUAGUACAGUAACAAUAUUUCAUCGAAUUUGAUUUAUCAUCCAUUUAAGAUGUCUAGUUUGCAGGACUAGAUGCAAAAAAAAAUUAGCUUAUAGUAUAUAGGUUUAUAUGUGAUUUGUAUACAGUAUUCUAGUAAAAAUUAAUAUAUUUUGAAUAUUACCUUGACAUGACCAGUGCCACCAUUAGAGUAAUGUUGAUCGAUGAUUAUGGGGUAUUUAGUAUUUGUUACCGUAAUAUUUUCAAAUAAUAUAUUCUUGGCUAACCCUUUUCCUCCCUAAAAUAUGUAAGGUUCAAUAUCUUUAUAUAUUCUUCAGAAGAAUAUAAUAUUUUGGUUGCAAAAAAAUUUACAUGCCAAGUCUUGAUUCUUGCCCCAUUUUGAGUUCCCCAAAAGCUGCAGCUUCUUACGAUCACGUUCUCAACAGUGUCAUCUAUAUCACCUUUCCCCAAACUUCCAAUGCUUCAUUUUAUUUUGAAUUUUUAAGACAUGAUAAACAAGUUAAUGUUUAAAAUAAUUUUCAUGAAACUUAAGUCAAAUAUGGAUGAAUUUGAAUCUCUUUGUGCUGUUAUGUCUACAAACCUGAUACCAUGACCUGGACCACAUGCCACACGAGUAAUGUUGAUGUCGGAAGAACCACCACGCCCACCAGUAAUUGCAAUACAAUCAUCACCUAAUAUGUAUGUAGGAAAUAUAACGACACAUAAAGAAGGAGUUUAUCAUACAUUUUCUCAAAUCCAGUCCAUGUAAUGUAAACAAAACUCAUUUUCAAAUUCAAAUAAAAAGAAGAAUUAAAGAGUACCAGUUUGGAUAGACGAGUCUAAGAUACGAAUAUUGUGUGAAAGAGAAAUACCAAUGCCGUCAGUGUUUGGACUCUUCUCGGGUGCUAGCAAAGUAAGAUUUGAUAAAGUUGCAUUGGUGCAACCAUAGACUGAAAUGUGAUUCUUUGGACUAUUGUAUUGAGUUAGCCCAUUAUAUAUUAUGUCGGUGCAUUGCUUAAAGCUAAGUGUCUGCACAUGCAACACACAACAGAAUAAUGUAUAUUACAAUAAAAUUUACUACAUUGUUAUAUAUAGAGAGUGAAAAGGAAUAUGGUGGAAAGGUGACUUACUCUGGGUCGUUUAGAGUGACGAACAGAUCGCCACCAAUUUUCUCCAUGGGGGUCAAGGACACCUGAGCCGUUGAUGAAGAGACUCUCCACGUUCUUGAACAUUAACCAACUCUCAGUUCGUUUGUUUCCCCACUGUUUUGGUCUCUUCGGCGCUUCUAUUUUCCCAUCGAUCUUACCCCAGAAAAAUAAAUUAUACAUGUAUGUGAAUAUGUGAAUCAUGUAAUACAUGUGUAUAUGUGUGAAUGGAUAACAAUUUUUGCAUGUGGUAUGUGGAUCUUCAUAUAAGUCAGUUGGAUUUAUAACGUGUUCAGAGUACCUGAAUAUGAAUGUAAGAAGAUACGCAUGGACCUUCAAACAGUUGUGGUUGUAUAGUGUAUUUUUCAUUCUCAUUUAUCACUAGCGAUGACCCGCCAGUUCCUUCACCUUCACCUUCGCAUAACCCUUUCCAUGCUUUUUGAAAUACCUUUUUUUAAAAUGAUAAAUUUAACAUAUUACGUUUGUUCUUUUGACAAGAAUCUAACUACAGAUCAAUAGUUAUAAGAGAUCAAUUACUUGUGAAUAGUCAACGUUUUUAUGGUUAGUAUCAGUUAUGAAAUCUUUGAUCCUUAGAAUCCUCCGGCCAUCUCCGUAUUCCAGAUGACACGAUACAAGUAUAAUCAUUGAGAAUAAUGUUUUCAAACACUUCAUAGUAAAAGAAAAUAUGGGACAAUUGUAUGUAUAUGUUUAAAUAAAAUGAGAAAAUGAUAAAAGGAAAUCAAUGGGAAAGAAAAGGUAUUGUAUCACCAUUUGAAUAUUGUCUUGAAGAUAAGAUUAUAUAACAAUGUUUUUAAUGUCUUUUGCGUGGUGUAGGUUAAUACAAUAUAUUUUUUUUUACUAAAGUUAACAAACAUUUGGAAAAUUUUGUAACUUGGAAAUACAGUGUAUUAUGUUGAUAAUAUAUGUGUAUAUUUAUAUGUUAACUUGAGACUCGAUAGUCUUAUGAUAUUUUUGAUUACUUGUCAAAAUGUCAAAAUGUCAAGAUACAUGCCACGUUCACAGUAUAAUCUGAUAUCAUUUAAGAGGCUAGCACAACAAAAGUUUUUUUUUUUUUUUUUUAGCACACAGCAAAAGAUUAUAUACAAAUUUUAAGAUAACUAGAUUACUAUACACGAAUAAGUUUACUCCGAACUUUAUAACAAAAAAAACAAGAGUUAGCUCGGGAUCUUAAAAGUUUGGAAAACUGAUUGUAUAUAGAAAUUAGAACAUUAUCUGAAAGCCUUAAUUAAUUUCUAUAUAACGAUUUGUAGAUUGUUAUUAAUUAAUAUAGUUUGCUUCAACAACUCUACUAUUAUUAACUAUAGAUUUUUAAAUAAUGAAGAGGAUAAAUAUUAAGAUAAAACUUCUCUUUACAUAUUAAUCUUUGGUUUUUAGUUAUAAAGUCGUUUUAGAUUAAUUGAACCUAUAUUUCAAAGUUAUGAUUAAAUAGUGAUGAAAACACAUAACUCAAUAAUAAUUAGUGUUGUAACCGCCUUCCAUUCUUCUAAACAGAAACACAUCCUUUCAAUUUUGUUUAUAAACUAUUAAAUGAAGCCCAACAUAGCAAACAAAUGAUCAAUAACUCUUUGGGGUCAAUAACAAUGUGUCAGACCAACAAUGGUAAAGUAAUAGUAAGAAGUGAGUAAUGGGUAAUAGAAUAUGUAAUCUCCAUACAGACACUAUGUUUCUCUAAGCUCAUAAACUGCUCAAAACAUUUACCUUCCUUUUAGCUCUGCAAAUCUGGCAGCCAAAUCCUCAUAGUCAGGUAACUUGGGGUGAACGUGCUUAGCUUCACUACGUUCUGGCUGAAACGAGGCGGCACGAGCAAACGUCUUUGCGGGUUCAGAUGGUCCGGCAAAUUGUUCACUGGGGAGACUGAGUGACCGAGCGGGAUGAUGAAUCUCUUCACCUUCUGCUUUUCUACGAUGUGAACGUCUGCUUUUAGAUUCUUCAUAACUUGAAGGCUUUUUACUGUAAUGCAUAAGAAGUUUAUCCAUCAUCUUUUCCUCACUGUCCUUCUCAUCUUCAUCUACUAAGACUUGAAGGCCUUUCCUUGAGUGUUCCCUUCUUCUGCUGCUUCUUGUAUCAUCAUCACCAUCAUUCGAUUGUAUAAUGUGUUUUCUUCUACUAGAUCGCCGCUUCAGAGAUUGAUCAUCUACGUCAUUCACUUGAUGCUGACCUGCUUCAGAAACCUUUUUAUCAGUGUCUUGACAGUUUCCUUCUUCACCAUCAAACCGAGCCUUUGGAUAAGCUGAAGCUUCAGGUUUUUCGAUCUUUGCUUUACCACUCGGUUUAACAUACGGAGGUGGGGGAAGGGACUUCAUCAUUCUCUCCGCUUCCCGCUCCUCAAACUUCCUUACUGGAUCAUAUCCAUCUCCACCACCCUUGAUGUUACCAGCAGAUGAAUCUUUUUCUGUGCCCUCUCGCACAGGAACUGUGUUUUCUCUCCUCUCGUGAUCGCUGCGAUGUCUACGGGCUGAAUCUAUAGAUGGUGUUCUUUUCGACCUUGGCUUUGGAGGCAUUGAGAGGUUAUCUUCUACUUUCUGAGGCGCAUGCUCUUCACCAUCCUCAUGUUUGUAGCCUUUGAAGAAACUUUCUUGCUUAAAGCCAAGAACUAACUUAUCUUCUGUUUUGGUGCUGCUACGCUUGUGUUUCUCUGUCACCUCUGUUUUCUUAGGCGCUGCAGCAGCUUCACCAUUUUGAUGUCCAACCCCUUGAACGAGAUUCUCACGUUUGAUCUUCAUCACUAUAGUGUCACCUUCGUUAAAAAUAGGUUGAGGUCUUCCUCUGGAAGACUUGUGAUUCGGUUGCAAAUGGAACUCGUUCCUUUCUGCCUUAUCGUCCUUGCUUUCCGAUCUGGAGGCGUGACGAACAUCAUCUGACUUAUUUUUAGAUGCUAGCCCACGCUGAUGUUCUCUGAGACCAUUCUGAUAAUUAUCCGGUCGAAAGAAAGGAUCUCUUCUCUCUGAUGCAACAUCCUUUUUCCUUUCUGAUGGCAAGGCCACACUUCCGUCUAAAGACUUAUGCUUCUCGUGAGUGGUAUCCUGUUCAUGACCAUGAGAAAAAUCAUAAAUCAGUGACGUUCCAAAUAUUUCAGUUUAUUGUCCCUAUUCGUCAUACCUUUACUGAACUACCAUUUUGCCUCAAGAUCCUCUUCUCAAAAGCUUUAGAAUCCCAACGAAUAGCAUACUCCGAUGCAACAUCUUCCAUCAACUUCACUUUCUUCUCCAAAGAAAAUGGCUUUGAUGUCAUAUUCUCAACAAGCUAUAAAAAAAAACAGUACGUGCUUAACCAUACAUGCUGUAUAAGAUUUCAAGAUGAGUUUUAACUGAGAAAUAAUACAUUAGAAAAGAAAAACAAUUACUUCUUGGUUGACAAACACACUAAGUGAAUCUCCAUACUUCUCGUGAAACAUCUGCCUCAGUUCACGCAGCUCAGGCAAUUCAGAAAAUCCAGCGGCUGCAAACAUUAAGGACGACACAGCUUCACGACAAUCUUCAGGACAUUCCCUGGAAAAACAAACGCAAAUCAACUAAUCAAAAUAUAAUCAUGUUUCCAUCAAGAACAAAGUACUUAAACUAUCUUUGAGAAUGUUUAACUAAGCCACAUCACUAAGCAAACAAGAACAAUGUGAGUAGGAAAACGCCAAAAGACUUUCGUUAUAUAUAUUCAAUUCAAUAUUUAUAAACAAAAGUCCAAACAACCUGAUCUUGAUUCUUCAAUAUAAAACCUAACAAGUUGAUAUGCCAGAGAAUCUACAAUAAAUUUCUCAACUACUCAUAACUAUGUUACAGCUAACUCAAGAAUCAUAAAAUAUUCUCAAAGCAAAAGGCAUUGGCCCUUACUCCAUCUUCUGCAUGGUGGAGAGUUGCUUAUACACGAAAUCACAAGUGCUCUCAACAAAAUCAAGAUUCCAGAGAUGCCUUAGUUCAUCAAGAAGCCCUCCCGCCUGCAUAUCUCAAACGUUUAUCAUCAAAAAACCAAAUCUGAAUCCCCUAAAUCAAUCCUUCUAACGAACGAUAACGUUACCCUGGUAUAAGCAUUGACGUCACGGCUAUUAGAGAUAAGAUCAGCAAAAUCUCCCUUGAGAAACUUGAUCGUGGCAGUCCUCUUCCUCCGAAGAACAUCGAUCCGAUUCUUAGUCAGUUUUAUCAGUGGUUUCCUGCCGAAUCACAAAUCACACAAUCAAAUCGCGAUUCGCACAUUAAAAAGAGUUAAUCAGAGAGAGAGAAGAGAAACAAACCCCUUGGGAGCAAAUCCGCGGCCUAAGAUACCGUCAAACAUCGUAAGAUCGCUUCGCAACAACGACGGUUAAGAUUCCGAUUGUGAUCCGCCGGAAAACGGAAGCUCGAGUGAGAGAGAGAGAAUGGCGUUUUUCUUCAGCUGUGGGUUUUUAAAAUUGAAGGCAACCGCAUCUCAAGCUGAGUGGAGAACAUGAAGGUGGUGGUGAUACGACUACGUUUUGACCUUUUGGUGUUGUUAACGUUAUAAAGGGUAUUUUGGGGAAUUUAAUUUAAUUUUUCUUUUUAGGUGGUGAGUGAGGAAUCAAAUCGAUACCUUCUGCUAGCUAGCUGUUGUUGUUCUAGUGGAAUUGGGUGGAAUGAUCUGGUGCAGAUGGGUCCACUCCCAUUGCAUGGAGUCUGUAUAACUGCACCAAUUAAGGAAUUUAAUUCACCGACGGGUUUAUUUAAGCUUUUUCUUUAACCGAUUUUCUUUCUCUUGUCGGAAAUGUUUCUUUUUUGUCUAAUUUUGUCGGAAAUGUUUGUAAAAUAUUUUACAUUUGUUUCGUUUAUGUUCGAUUUAUUUUUGUAAAUUGGAUUUGAUAUUACGGUUUAUGCAUUAGUAAAUGUUUUCAGCUUGUUAUAGGUAUUAACAAACAAAUUAAUAUGUUGACUAAUAUGUGGACAUCAAAAAACAUCAUUGCUAAUUGUCCAAAUCCAUCGUCUGCUAUUUAAUUCCUCAUCGAUUAAUUUAAAAAGAGAAUAACGCUUGUGUCCAUGUUCUUGAUUUGAUUAAGGCCGUGGAAACCGGCUAAAGAUGCGAAGGAUUUCGCCUUUAAGCCUAUUUGUUUAGGCAGAAUCAAAUUCCUUAAUCCACUUAACUUACGUGCUUCUGUGUCCAGUCAAAUUAGAUUAAAAUACUUUCCGUCCCGACAAGAAUAAUUAUCCUUUUUAGACAAGAAUAAUUAGAUUAACCAAAUUCCACAAUUUUGCCUUAAUUAAUAAUUCAUGGAUGUGAUUAAUAAAUAUUGAAACUUUGGGGUCAAUUUGAUAGUAUUAACAAAUAGCGGGGCUGAUAAGAACGUAUACUCAUAUGAUAUUUUCAGUCUCAUAAAUAUCUUUCAUCUCUCUCACACACACUCCACUAAAAAAACAAGAAGAUUACUAAAAGAUGAUCCUGAGAAGCGCGUCGUCACUGGACCUUAACAUACGCGCCGCCCAAAAAUCCUCAGCUCCACGGUGUCCAAACGGAGCUCGCGUUGCGACGACGGCUCGUCCCGUCUCUGCCUCUCUCCGAGGAUGUAAGUCGAUGCCCAGAGCUUCUUCAGACGGAAACCNNNNNNNNNNNNNNNNNNNNNNNNNNNNNNNNNNNNNNNNUCAGAGCAGAACCAAAACGUCCAGCGUCUACCACGACGACGCGGCGUCUUCUAGGGUCUUGGAGAGAUCAAGGCUCCACCAGGGAGGUUCCAACGGUGGCUUUGGCAGUAGAGGUGGAGACGGUGGUGCCGGAGGUGACGGCGGAGGGGGAGGUGGAGGUGGGAGCGUUGAUGGUUACUACGAAGAGAUGAUUCAACGUUAUCCUGGAGAUGCUCUUCUUCUCGCUAACUACGCUCGUUUCCUCAAAGAGGUAUACAUACACAAACACCGUAUGUAUAUAUAGAGACAAGAUAAAGACAAAAGCUAAACUAUAAUGUAAUAAUUUUAAUUAACACCUGGACCUUGUAAUAAUUUUAAUUAACACCUGGACCUUGGUAUACGUAUUAUAGCUCUAUAUUGAAGUCGAUCUUUGAGCAUGAGUUUAGUAUUUUGAUUGGUUAAAUUUACUAACUUUGUGUAUUAAUAUUGUGCAGGUGAAGGGUGAUGAGAGAAAAGCAGAGGAGUACUGUGAGAGAGCGAUGUUGUCUGAAGAUGGGAGAGAUGGUGAGAUGCUGUCUAUGUAUGGGGACUUGAUAUGGAAGAAUCACGGAGACGGUGCUCGUGCUCAGUCUUACUUUGAUCAAGCUGUUCAAUCUUCUCCUGAUGACUGGUGAGUAGAAACAUAACUAUAUUUGUUACAGUUCAGUAUCUGCUUAGAACCCUGAUGAUAUAUAUGCAAGUAAAGUCUCUAACUUUGGAUUUGGGUUUUUCUUAAAGUAUAUCCAAGAUGCAAACUUCACAAGUUUUUUAAUCCAUUUUUGGUAGAUUGCUGAGAUAUUGGGCCAUUGAGUAUUUGUUAUGGGUAGCUUUAUUGAUUGUUUUAAUAGGAAUGAUAUUGUUGAAAGGGAAUAGUAAGAUAACAUUUCACGUAAAUGAUUUUGUGGAUCAAAUUUGAUUCGCUCUAUAUCCAACCUUUGAAGAAGUUGAUUGGUCACGUUAUUGAAAAUGACAUACAUCUCAUUCACGAUUUUUUCUAGCUGCAUCUUCAAUGUUUAUGUGGUGUGGCAGUAGUCAGUAGAUAAUGCGUUACUUCAUCAUGAUCAAUAUAAAUCUAAUAUAACUGAUAAAUGGUGUUUAUGGCAGUCAUGUUCUUGCCUCAUAUGCUCGGUUUCUAUGGGAUACUGAAGAAGAGGAAGAGGAGGAAGAAGAAGGGGAGGAAGAAAGUAAAUAUGAGAAUGGUUUCUCUACAUAUAACCCAUCUGUGUCAGUUAUGUCCUGACCCUUGGUGCUGAUUUUAAACCGGUGUAAUAUAUAAUAACAAUUUGAAGUCCGGUUUAAUCAUAAAAUAUCUUGUGCCAUUGAGAUAGAUUGAUGCUUAUGUGUUGGAAGAAACGAACCAAGUAUCAAAACUCCAAAGAUGCAUUAUUGUGACGAAGUGUGAUAUUUCAAAGAAGAUAAAAGUGGUUUGUGUCCAUAGGCUUAGAGCUAAAAAAGGUGUGAAUUGGGAUUGGUCAUGGGCUCUGGAUAGAAUCAAUUAUUGGUUGUCAAAAAUAAAAUCAAUUAUUGAUCAAUGGUUGCUAGAGACGUCACGCUCAAGUCAAGUCAUUUGUGUUUUGUGUCGAUGCAUGCAUGAAAUGAACUUUUAUCGUUGCAAUUUGCAAUAAGGAAAUGAACCUUUUUGUGUUUAUAUGAACAAAUAUCAAGAAAUUAUAUUUUCUUUAUGCAAGAAUGUUUAUUAAAAUUUUCUGUCUACACCUUCACGUAUAUUAGAUUUUUGUCAAAAUCUAUACUCCAUGUUUACUAUGUUAAAGAUGCUCCAACUAUAACAAAAGAAAUGGCACAAUAAUAAAGAUAAAGAAUACACUGAGCAUACGAAAAAAAGAAUACACUGAGCAUACGAAGAAAAUCUCCUGAAUAUUCACUUUUUAGAAACCAAAACAUCAAAAAAGAAAAGAUCUUGACAUCAAAAUACAACAUAAAAGAUUAAAAACAUUACACCAUCAAACAUAGAAAUAUAUAAAAAAGCAACAACCUUUAGAACCAAACACAAUGAUUCUUUUCACUCUUUUACCCAUUUCUUCUCAAACAAGUUUUGGUCGAAGAUAUAUAUAUAACUAUUACAUGCUUUCUUUUCCUCUUGUCUUCCUUAAUUAACACAGAGCUCUUUAUGCUCAACAGCAACCGCUUCAGGUACCUCAACAGACUCCACUCUGUCUUCAUCCAUCCUUGGAGACACAGUCUCAUGCGAGUCCUUUUCUCCAUCAGCAUUGGGUGAUGCAGUCACUUGUGCUUCCUCUUCUUUGGGAUUUGAAGACUGGCUUUGAGUUUCUCCAUCUUUUUCAAGUUUCUUUCUUUCAGGUUUCACCUUUGCUGAGGUUGUGGCGGCUGGUUUUCCAUCAGGGAGAGUUGUUUUCUGAGAUGGCAAUCUUGGAAGUGACUUGCGCAACGGUUGCUUCUUGGGAUCAACCGUUGCCGCAGUUCCCUUAGCAGCUGGGUGAUCUCUUGAGGCUUUCUCAUCUAGGCUCAGCCUACCGACGCGAGGGGUUUGAGUUUCUUCAGCAUCAGUCUUCUUCCGUCCGAGUUUUGGAGAUUUGGGUCUUGUUGGUGGUAUCUACAAUAACAAUGAAAAUUAGUACUUGAUUAAAAAAGUGAGAUUAUGGUUUUGAGAAGAGAGGAGAAGUAAAUACCUUCUUUAACUCUGUUUUAGGCGGCUGAGAAAAGCUAGGCAUGGGUGUGGCUUUGAAGUUCAAGCUCUUCCUCAGCUUCCUAAGCUCAGCUUCUUCUGUUUCCUGUGAGCGAGCCACAAGUUUUUUGUUUUAAAUUUUAACAAUAAUAGGUCGAUGAGAAUACUAUGACAAAGAAGAGGGGUUAGAAGACAAACCUUGGACUUGGCUUGCAUGUUGUUAAUCUCCUCUUCUUUCGCAUGAGUCUUUUCCUCAAGCUUAACAUAGAACUGCACAACGCAGAAAACAUGUUUGUGGAGAGAAGACAAGUAUAUUGAAUCAAAAGUUCAAGCACACAAACCUCUCUUCUCUUCUCAGCCCGUUGGUCACAUUUGAAACUGAAUCCAUAGUUUGGAAGUGCACCAACUUUACGAGGUUUGCCAUCGUCUGCCUUGGGGCUACUAUAAAGCCAGAACGUCAAAAUCAACAUAAAAGCAGAAAGGCCUCAGCUUGCCACAAGAAAGAAAAGCCAAAGGUGAAAGAAAAUACUUAGAAGACUGAGUAUCAUCUUCUGAUGUCUCAUGGACUUGUUUCUUUUGAGGCUUUGGUUUCACCUUGUCCCUGUAUCAAAGAGAGAAACAUAUCUCCAAGUUUCAACGAUUGCUAAGGGACUAAAUGAUAUACUAAUGUGAAAACUAUAACCAAUGUCUGAUAUGGAAAUAAAUUUUUAAAAUUGAGGACUCAUACCCGGUGGCGCUUUCUGCUGGUGUAGAGUCUUGCUUUCCAUGCUGAUAUGCAAAAAAGAAUAAAUCAGAAUCAAUCAACAGCCCGAAAUACGAAGAUAAAGCAGAUCACACAAGAAUACGCAAAUAAACCUAGAAGAUUACCUCUGUUACUUUAGCCGCUCUACCAUUGGAUGAUGUGCUCUUAAGAGACUUUGUUGAGUGUGCAUUAGGAGCAACAGAACCAUUUGAUGCUGCCCCUUUAGACAUUGCACCUUUGUUCUCUUUCUUCUUUUUGAUAUGUACCGAUGGAACACUCUUUCCACCUGGGAGUUUCUCAUGCUUAAGCUUCUUUUCGCCUUUAACAUGCUCUUGAUCUUCUACAUUUAUACCUUGUGUGACCUAAAUAGUAAAAGAGACAAAAACACAAACGUUAAUCAUAUCUGUUUAUCUAAAGGACAAGUAGACAAAACCACCCAGGAGUUACAAACCUCAGCUGCUGCCUCUUUGGGCGGCUGUUCAAAUGCAUCCAAAUUGGAACUAUCUCCAGAAUUCUCAUUCUGACUAUCCGAAGUAGUAUCCAAGGUCUCUCCAGAAUCAACACCAUUUCCUUCAACACCAACAUCUUCCACUGCUACACCACCAUUUGCAAGAGCAGAGUCCGUCCCAUCAGCAGCCAUGACACUUUCCGGAUCCAUAGUAAACUACAAAAACAACAAAGAUGGAGUUCACACUGAUAUAAGUGAAGAGACAGAAAAGAUUAUGAAAAUUUUUAAGUAAAUUUUACCUAAAAAGCAUUCACUUGAAUUAACACAAACUUGAAACCCAGGCAUUGUAAUGUAAAUCAAUCAAACAUGUUUCAACAAAAAUCAAAUCAAAGUGCUUUUGUAGGGGUUAUGAAGUGAAACAAGUGACCAAGACUCAAGCUACAACAUUUUAGAAGUGUUGAACAUCAAAAGCACUCUUCUUGUCCAAUACCCAGAGGCUUCAGCUACUCAUUAAGUAAAUGGAUUCGUACAAAACCAGGUCGAUCAAAUUAAAGACAAAACCUACUCACUUAGCUUACUCAUCCAUAACUAACUGAUCUAAGUAAACAAAUCAGAGAAACACAAAUUUAAUCUGGAAUUAAAAAAAAAAAAAAAGCAAAUCUAAAUCUUGUGGUACUGAAGCUCACUAGUGAUGGCAGUUUCAACUUUGGAUCUACCGACACUCUAAACCAAGCAAUGAGAAACGAACACAAGUAGAUAACUUUCCUCAGAAGUUCCGCCAGUUUUUUCACAGCAACCAAACAAAGAAAAAAAAGACAAGGCCAAAAGAAACAAACAAACAAACAAACAAACAAAAAAAAAACACGAAGACGCACAUCUAACCAAACGCAGUUACCAGAGCAAAUCAAGCAUCCAUUGAAGGUGAAAUCGAAGGAGAAGACUAAGGAAGACGAGGUUUCAUAGAGUUUUGAGAUUUCGAUUUGUUCUUUGAGUGCUUUUUUUUUUGUUGGUUUUGGGUUUUGUGAGGGAUGGAUUCUCUCUGUCUACUCAAGUUUUUUUUUUGUUCUUGUCUUUUUUUUUUUCUCUAUGUGAAUAGAGAUGUCAAAACUCCCAUUUAAUAUUUUAUUACAACGACUAAUCUAAUUACCACGUCAUCGGUGAAAUUACGGUUAAUCGGCGGUUUAUUUAUAUUUUAAUCGUGGGAUUGAUGGGGAGAGUGGAGGUUUUAUGGAACUAAUAGUAUUUUCCUAAUUUCCACUGUUAAAACUAAAAGAUAAUUUUAAUAUUUUUCUUUUUAUAUACUACAAGUCUAUAACUAUAAGACAUAUGCAACUUGGGGGAGACAAAAAACAAACCAUACGCGACUGAAACACUCUUUUUUUUUAUUUGAAGCGAUUUGAGUUAAAUUUUAGUCUGUCUAAAACUAUAUAUCAAGAUAGUGGAAAAUCAGUAAAAGAUAUAAAUAUAUAUACUAGCUAAUAUAUUUUUUUUAAUGAAUCUUUAAUUUUGAAUGGAAUGGGUACAGUGCUAGCUAAUAUUUAUAGCUUUCAAAGAAAAGGUCUGGAAUCAGGUGAAUAAUAGAUGGUAAAAUCACAAGAUCCUCAGGAUGUUAAACUAUUUAGCUUACUCUUUGAGUCUUUUCACACAUAUUUUCAUAAUAUUACAGUUUUGGGUAAAAUCCACUAAUUGAAUUUAGAUGGGAUAUUUUAAGAACAUAUGAGAAGCUUAGGAUUUAAGAACUAAAAGGCAGAAGUAGUUGGCCAAAAAUAGAAGAAAACAUAUGUGGGAAACAAGUCCAAAUUAAACAUAUGCUAAUAGAAAAAGAAACCCGGAUUUUAAGGGGGUUUUGGAUAUGGUUAGGUUACUUUUUACAUAUUGGUUUACAUACAAAUGAGAAAGAGGUACGUGACCUUCUCCAACAUCCAUUGGUAUUAACAAAUAAAAAAAGAACUUCACAUUUUCUUAAUCAAACAGUAUAAACUUUUCGUUAAUUAUUAUACAUAUUUCAAUCUAUUUGGGUCGCUUUAAUAAGGUGAACCAUGCUAUUCCCCACACUAUUAUAACAUACUUUACUCUUAAAUGGGAACUUUACUCAUCCUGUUAAUCAUCAGAAAUAUUAAAGCCAGCUCAUGGAAUCUGCACUAUCUGUUAUUUAAAUGUAUACGUUUUAAAUAUACUUUUCAAAAGUAACAAUCAAACUAAAAUAAAAGCCUUUUAUUAGGCGCAAGAGGCGCAAAUUCACCAACAUCAUGGCGCUUUGGAUCAGAUGACCAGGUCAUAUCCAAUAGCCAAAAAUCUACUACCUUUCUUGUUUUUUAUCUAAUUUUUGCCAAGAAAGAUGUAUGUAAAAGCCUUUUAUUUUGUAAAAGACAAAAGUUUCAUUUUUAAUGAUAUUUACAGUUUAGCAAAGACACAUGACCUAACCGGCUCGAUAUACAACUUGACGACUGUAGAACUACAUGUAAAUACAAAUUGAUUGUCUUGUAGACCACCAGUAUGAUGAUACAAUUAGAUAGAUAGUUGCCGCUUUUUUUUUACCAAUCAACAAUAUUCAUAUUUGGAUUGUAUAGAUAAAGAGAAGUUAAUAAAUUACAACAUUUCCCAUUUUAUGCAAAAUAGUAAAGACCACAAGUGUUCAUAACUAAAUACAUGCACCCACAUGUACAUUUCUACACACUACCAAAAGCUUGUGGUAGGCCCAGAUAAUUAAUUCAAAUUAAAGUUUGUUUUUCUUAAGAAACCAAAUGAAAUGUGACAUUACUUAUUUCUUAGACUGAAUAUGAACUAAUAGUUUAUUAAUACUUACAAUAUUCCAAUUGUUUUCUACCUAAACUAUUUACACAAAACUAUAUAUAUAGCUUCUACCCAUUUGAUGAAACUAAAUAUUCGCUAAUAAAUAGCUUAGGUAGAAGACAAAUGAAAUAUUGUAAGUAGUAAAAGCAAUACUUAUUGUAAGAUAGUUUAUGAUGGCUUUAGUGUCUCUUCUAAAAUGUGCUGAAUAAAACUAUCAUGUGCUACAGGAAAAAUAAAAUUUAAACAUUAUAACAUUUUCCAUCUGACCCCAAAACAUACUAGUUUGACCCACUCGUGCGCAUCAUCAAACCGCGAAGCUUCUAUCAGCUGAAUAGUUUCUAGUUUUGACAACGAGCCUAUAUUGCAAGUGUUCAGCACUCAGGGAUUAACAAACUAUAGAGAGUACAAGAACUUUAAGAACCUUGUUUUAAGAUUUACAUGUCGAUCUCCAAGCUUUUAUCAAGAAUGGGUUUUGUAGUAUGCAUUGUCAAAAACAAAUGGAUAUUGCCAAGCCUUUACUGCCAAGCAUAAAUGCCCCAGAUAAGGCAAUGUACCAGAACUAGAACUAUCAAAGUUAAGGCGAAAUAUAAACAGAACAUCCAGAGCUCACAUGUUCCAUUCUAGAUAUAAUAUAACUUUUACAUUUCCAAACUUAUCGGUUCACCAACAAGUCAACAGAUAGAAGAACCUCAAAAACUAAGAGAAACACUUCUUUUCUUUUAAAAAUAAGAAAAACACUAUUACAACAAAACAACAAUAUACCAACCGAAAAAUACCCAAUUAUAAGUUUCUUAUCUCGGACCGGAGAGCUGGCUAUGAGAUAUCGAUGAUGAAGUUCCACCACCGCCUUCUUCGUUGAUCGACCUCAACUCCAACCUCGUGUAAUACGGAGGCUGAAGCACAGGGAAAACACCUUCAAGCAUCUGAACAACUUUGCUCAUGGACGGUCUCAAAUGCAUAUCUUCUUGUAUACACCACAACGCAGUUUUCAUCGCCCUUUGAACUCUCUCAUCGUUCAUCACAUCAACACCCUCCCCCUCCUCCAUAUCCCAAUCAACAUUCUCUAUAAGCAAUCCUUCCCGCAUCCUCUUAAAAGCAUAAGCAGGAAAACUAGCACUCGCUAGUAAAGACUCUUUGUUCUUUCGUCUUCUUAUUAACUCUACAAGAACCAUUCCGUAGCUGUAAACAUCGCUCUUCUCCGAGAUGGCGUAGGUUGUUAUCCAUUCAGGAGCCAUAUAACCUCUCGUCCCACGCAAAGUUGUGAAGACAUGGCUCUGUUCCCGUGUCAUGAGCUUAGCGAGUCCAAAGUCAGAUACCUUGGCGUUGAAGUCAUCGUCUAAGAGGAUAUUCUGUGGUUUAAUAUCACAAUGGAUAAUUCUUGCGUCGCAAUCUUCGUGUAAAUAAGCUAAACCUUUCGCUGUUCCGACCGCGAUGUUGAAUCUUGUGUCCCAAUCCAACAGAAUAUCUCCGUCCCUUCUCUUAAAUAUCCAUCUCUCUAACGAACCUUUCGCUAAGUACUCGUAAACGAGAAGCCUGUGAGUCCCUUCCUCGCAGAAUCCUGUGAGAUGCACCAAGUUUUGAUGAUGAAUGCUACCGAUCGUACUAACCUCGGCUUUGAAUUCUUUCUUGCCUUGACCUAUUCCUUCAAGCUGCUUCACGGCUAUGUGAGAACCGUCUGGUAACGUUCCUUUGAAAACUGAACCGAACCCUCCUUGACCUAACUUGACAGAGAAGUUAUUCGUCGCAGACUGAAGAUCUUUGUAAGAAAAUUGGAUAGACGUACCAGGUAGAAUGUUCACGAAACUAUGAGUCGUCUCUUGAGAAGCAAGCAAACGUGCUUUCGUUCUCCUAUGAAUCCGACAAAACGCGAAGAUCAAAAGACAGAUGAUAAAGAUUGCCACAAAGACGAUAAUAAUGACUAUAUAUGGAAAUUGUUUCCCAUCGUCAUCUCCGUUAUUUUUAACUCCCAAAUCAUUAGUAGCCACCUUGAUGUAAGAGAUGAAACCAGAACCUCCACUUCCUAUGCUUUUAAAGCUACCAAUCCAAUCAAACAAGAAGCAGUUACCAGAACUGUUCUGGAAGAACAAACCGAGGCACGAGCAUUUGCUGUUGCAAUACUCUUUACAGCUAUCAAGAGUAGUGUGGUUGGUGAAAGGAGAAGCAAACCCUAGUGCGAAGUAGUCAACACUCUCUCCAGCAUUUACAAGUUUCACAGACAAUGUUGCAUUGUUGUUUGUUUUCUUACAAGGAGAAGUGAUCCCGGUUUUGCAAUCUGACUGAGCGCUUGAAAAUCCGGACACACAUUGACACACUUUACUAACAGAGCAAAAGAAGUAAGGGUCACAAGACUCAGGGGUCGCACAUUGAUCAUUUGGGAUUUUAGUGAGAGAAUCAUCCGCAGCAGACACACCACUCAAAAGUCUUGUAAAGGAGAUCACACCGUUGUUUUUCAAAACAGCGAUCCAAGUGGCGUUAUCAUCAUCUCUAUUGUCUGAUGAAAUCAUAAACUGCCAUAACAAAGACUGUUUAUCAUCAAAGAACUGCCACGAGUUUCCGAGUAAAGACGAUGAAGUCACUACACCACCGUAUUUGUCAAUGAUCCUCCCUCUGUCGCUUCGCAUGGACCAGUACACUUGAGGUGUCAAGCUGUUGACGGAUAAAAACAUAUCUCCUGACUUGAUCUCGAGAGAAUAAGUCAUGUUGCUCGAAUAAGAAGCAUUGCUAGUGAGCUUCAUGCCUUGUUUAAAUACUUGAUUCGUAAUCAGAGUAUCUGUAGGAUGACCAAAGCUCUCCCAGAUCGAAGCUCCGUCGUCGCCGGAGACAACCACGAGGUUCCCCGAGUCGCGAAGCUCCAUUCUCGAAGCGUUUUUGUUUGCAUUGUCCAAUCUCCAAACCUCGGAUCCUCCUCCUUCUUCUCUGCGGAGGACGAUGGCUCCGUUGGCUUGGAACUGGAGCUUGUCGGAGUUCGAUACAGGGGAAGCUCUGUUCGCCGACCAGAUAAGUCUCGAACUGGAUUUGUGGAUGAUGCUGAGUGUGAAGAGAGUGACGUCAUCUGGUGUGGUUACGAAACCGAAACCAAAGUCUCUGUUGAUGGAUUCGAGGAAGAUACCGUCGUUGUUGAUGUAAUUCACCCGAGCUCCUUCGAAGCCUGGAGAGAUGCUUCCGUUGUAGGGUACACCGGCGUGUAGAGGAUGAGGGAAGAAUAUCAACAGAGAUGCUAAGAGGACACUGAAGAACAUUCUCAUGGCUUCCUGCUUUUCUUGUUUUUUCUUCUUUUGCUUGUUUAUGUGGAAAAAACCUCGACACACGUUAGAAAAAAAACCAAAAAUAAAUGUUUGGAUUGUGAUUCACGCUGAGAAUCGGAUAAGGAAAAGAAGAAGAAAAAAACAGUUAUUGGUCUUGUUACAAACAUUCUAGUCUAGCAAGAAGGUUUCAAAGUGGGAAAGCUUUUAGUUUUAGUGGUCACACGUGAGAUACGCGUGACUUAUUAUGUACGAGUAUAUACGAGUCUGAUCAUUAAGCUUGGAAGCUCCUCUCUUCAAAAUUGAAAUAAAAAUAAAUAAAAUUACAAAAAGUAUCUACUAGUAUCAGUAGAAAAUCGAUGAGUAGUGCAUUUUAAUCUAUGUAUACAAGUCGGAACAUUACAAAACUGAAACUGAUAAGAGCACUAAUGUUUUAAACAGAACAACAAUAUACAUACAAAUACAUGGUUGUAAUGUCAUCUAAAAACCUAUAAUAAGAAGACACUAAAAAACUAGGCUAUCUCGGACCGGAGAGUCUCACGGCCGAUAGAUAGUUCUCACUAUUACAAUCCGACGGUCCAGACGACGUACCCCCACCUUCCUCACUGAUCGACUUACAGAAGCUCGAGUAAAGCCUCGACCCCAAAGUGGAAGAAGACGGAGGCUGAACCACAUGAAAAACUCCUUCAAGCAUCUGAACAACUUUGCUCAUCGACGGUCUCAAAUGCAUAUCCUCUUGUAUACACCAAAGCGCAGUCUUCAUCGCUCUCUGAACUCUCUCAUCGUCCACGUCAACGUUCUUCAUCUUCCCGUCAACAAUCUCCAAAAGCUUCCCUUCUUCCAUCAUCUUGAACGCAUAAGAAGGAAAGUGACACUUCUCCGAAGACUCUGACGGAUCAUAGUUCUUUCUCCCUCCUAUCAGCUCUAGCAACACCAUCCCGUAGCUGUACACAUCGCUCUUCUCCGAGAUUGCGUAGUUUGUGAUCCACUCAGGUGCCAAAUAGCCUCUAGUCCCACGCAUAGUCGUGAAAACAUGACUUUGCUCUCGUGUCAUAAGCUUAGCUAGUCCGAAAUCAGAUACCUUGGCGUUGAAGUUAUCAUCCAAAAGAAUGUUCUCCGGUUUAAUAUCACAAUGGAUGAUCCUUGCGUCGCAAUCCUCAUGUAGAUAAGCUAAACCUUUCGCUGUUCCGACCGCGAUGUUGAACCUUGUGUCCCAAUCCAACAGAAUAUCUCCAUCUCUUCUCCUGAAUAUCCAUUUCUCCAACGAACCUUUCGCUAAGAACUCAUAAACAAGAAGCCUAUGAGCUCCUUCCGCGCAGAACCCCCUAAGCCGCACCAGAUGCAGAUGAUGAAUGCUACCGAUGAUACUAACCUCGGCUCGAAACUCUUUCUUCCCUUGACCUAUUCCUUCAAGCUUCUUCACCGCUAAACGUGAACCAUCAGGUAACGUACCUUCGUAGACCGAUCCAAACCCUCCUUGACCUAACUUGAUGGAGAAGUUAUUCGUCGCUGACUGAAGAUCUUUAAACGUAAACCUAAUCGGCAUCCCCGAUAGAUUCUCCAAGAAGUUAUCCUCCUCUGAGCUAUGCUCCUCAUCACCGUCCAAAACAGUUUUCGUCCUCGUUCUCCUAUGAAUCCGAAACGCCACGAAGAUCAAACAACCGAUGAUGAAAACCGUCGCCAAGACGAUAAUUACUAUAUAAGGAAAGUGUGUCCCAUCACCAUCAUCACCGUUAUCUCCACCUCCUAAACCAUUAGUAGCCACCUUGAUGUAAGAAACCAAACCAGACCCUCCACUUCCUGAGCUUUUAAAGCUACCGAUCCAAUCAAACAAGAAGCAGUCACCAGAGCUGUUCCGAAAGAACAAACCGAGGCACGAGCAGUUAGUGCUGCAGAACUCUUUACAGCUAUCAAGAGUUGUCUUCUUGGAGAAAGGAGAAGCAAACUCUAGCGCGAAGUAGUCAACACCGUCUCCAGCAUUUACAAGCUCCACAGGAGAAGAUGCGUUAUUGUCUUUCUUGUUAUCACAAAGAGAAGUAUCGAUUCCGGAUUUGCAAUCAGACCGAACUCUCGAUAAACCGGAGACGCAUCCACACACUUUACUCCCAGAGCAUGAGUAGUAAGACCCGCAAGGCUCGGGCGUCGCGCACUGAUCGCUCGGGAUUUUGGUCGAGGAAUCAGCAGCAGAGACACCGCUCCCAAGAUUCGAGAACGAGAUCACACCGUUGUUUCCUAGAACAGCGAUCCACGUGGCGUUAUCAUCUUUAUUAUCCGAAUAAACAAACUGCCAUAACAAAGACUGUUUCUCAUCAAAGAACCUCCACGAGUUCCCGAGGAGAGAGGAGGAAGUCACGACGCCGUUUUUUUCGAUGAUUCUCCCUCUGUCGUUCCCCAUGGACCAGUACGCUUGAGGUGUCGAGCUGUCGACGGAUAAAAGCAUAUCUCCUGAUUUGAUCUCGAGAGAGUAAGUCAUGUUGUUCGAAGACGGGUUGCUAGUGAGCUUCAUGUUUUCUUUAAAAGCCUGGUUUGUGAUCAGAGUAUCUGUUGGAUGAUCAAAGCUCUCCCAGAUCGAAGCUCCGUCGUCGCCGGAGACAACCACGAGGUUCCCCGAGUCGCGAAGCUCCAUUCUCGAAGCGUUUUUGUUUGCAUUGUCCAAUCUCCAAACCUCGGCUUCUCCUCCUUCUUCUCUGCGGAGGACGAUGGCUCCGUUGGAUUGGAACUGGAGCUUGUCGGAGUUUGAGACAGGGGAAGCUCUGUUCGCGGACCAGAUGAGUCUCGAGGUGGGUUUGUGGAUGAUGCUGAGUGUGAAGAGAGUGACGGAAGCUGGAGUGGUUAUGAAGCCGAAGCCGAAGGCGGAGCUGUUGGAUUCGAGGAAGAUGCCGUUGUUGUUGAUGUAGUUCAUCUGAGUUCCUUCGAAGCCUGGAGAGAUGCUGCCGGUGUAGGGUACACCGCCGUGUAGAGGAUGAGGGAAGAGAGUUAGGCAUGUUGUUAAGAAGAUGAUGAAGAUGCCGCCUCUCAUGGCUUUUUGGCUUGCAAGAUCGUAGCUAAAGCUUUUUAUAAAGAUUGAAACUUUUUGUGUGUGGAUCAAGUCAAUGGAUCUGAGAAACAAAACAAGAGAAUGAUUCUAAAAAGAUGCAAAAAGACAAAUCUCAGAGCGUUGUCAGGUGAACGGUCUGCAUCUGUAAAUGGAAACUGAUUGUUUCUAGAUUUCGUGACGGAGAAAUAAUCAAUCACAUAACUAGCCUUGUUAGAAAGUUUCAAACUUUCCGACGAGUUUCAGACCGGAAUUGGGUAAAGGAACCGGAAAUUUUGAAAUAGAAAUUGAAGAAGAGUUGGAUUAUUUGAAGGGGUUGGAGAACUCUGGUUUUGUGUGUUUUGCCUAUCUGUCUCAGAUUCAAUGAAGUUUGAAAAAGAGAGGAAGGCUACAACUGGUUUGAAACAGAGAGAAGAAGGUUGUAAGUGUGUCUUAAUUAAUAAAACUCUCUGUCUUAGCCGUUUCCUUUAAAUCCGUUUCCUAUUUAUCUUUUCCCUCUUGCGACCGUCACAAACUAUUUUGGACAGAUCCGACCGCUUGGGUGGGUCUCUCUUUUUAACCAAACAUGUUCUUAAAUUUUUUCCAGACCCUUUUGACUUUUUGACUUUUCGACUUUUCAGAGAGGACAGAAGAAGGAGACAGGUUUAAUUGAUUGUGUAAUAAAAGGGUUGUGGAUAGGUUCGCACCGUACAGAUUGCAUUUAUGUUCGUAAAAGAAUUUGCAUUUUUACUGAAUGGUUGUGGUGGAAUGAAGACUAUUCUUUUGUUCUUAACGAAAGAACAAUCUGAACAACACUUGAGAUUGCUUAAAAUUGUGUCAUGUAUGAAAUUUGAAUUUGAUGUGUAAUUGAUAUUUGUAUUGCAGAUGACGGAUUGUCUUUUCACCUUGUGCCACUAGUUAAAAGUUACAGGUUACAAUUAUGUUUUUAGUAAAUGUAAAAUCAUACAGAAUUCAAUAUCAAAUGAAACCAAAAUAAAAAUCAUGUGUAAGAGCAUCUUCGAUACAAAACGUUAUUUUUUGAAACAAUUGAGUAACUGAAGUUGAUUUUACUUCGAUCAAAUCCUAUUUGGAGUUAAAAAAUGGAGUAAAUUUAUUUUAUUUUAUUAUUUUAUUAAAAUGAUUUGGGUGUCCAAAAAUUGUUUUAUUCUAAAUUAUAUUUUGGAAUAAAAUAAAAUUGGAGGUAAAAACUCUUUCUUCUCUUUUAGUCAUGGAGAAUUCAAAGAUGGAUCAGCCAACGUCAAAACGUGGGUUUUUCGUGUGGUUGUUUGAAUACACAUCUAAUUCGUCUUUUUCUUUACCGUAAAAAAGGAAACUAUGUUUUAACUUUGUCAACAAAUAACACCUAAACUUACUUUUUCCAAUAAAAAUAAACAGCACCUAACAUUACUAAGUCUUCCCAUGGAAUAUUAAAAACAGAAUAUCACUCACAAAAACGUAGAGAUUACGAAGAAAAGAAAAACUAUGAAUUGGGUUGGAAAAGAACACAAAGAGGGACGUGGGGAAGUGUGAAAAAAUAGAUUGAGGUGUUUGUUUGAUUGUUAAGGUAAGACUGAGUACGGAAGCCACAGCUGUCAGUAUACCGAACUCCCUGUGUACUUUCUUACUUUCCAUCAAUCCAAUGUUCCGGUAAAUAUCAAAAUCCCCAAUAUACCCCUGGUUGAUGAAAUGGACCAAAACCAAAUCACUCCUUUUUCACUAGACGUGGUGUUUGGUUUGACUUCAUGGUUACAAUCUUUAAAGCAGAUUCAUCAGCCCUUCUUUUUCAACGGCCGAACGUUAUUCCUGAAUCCAGCAGUAUGAUUCACACUAUUCUCAAUGUCAAUUUUCAAUUUUUCAUUACUUAAUUGUUUGGCGACACAGGAUAUACCUAAUCGAUAUGUUGUAACCUCCCCCUACCAUUUAAAAUUCUCGGUGAUUUAUCGUUGUUGCCACUCUGUAAACCAAGUCAAUCAUGUGAAAAUUUUAACAUGUAAUUAGUUUUUUAUGGUUAUAUACUAGAGUAGCUAGAUAAAUAUUGAGACAACUCUUGAUUCCACAGAUCCUCCGGAGGGGCACAAAUAUAAUAAGAGCAAAGUUUUCAUUAAAACGUUACAUCAUAUUAAUUGCUCAAAUGAAAUGUAGUUGGGGAGUUAGCUUUGGUUUUAAUGACCGGCAAUCAUCUACUCCCAUUCAUAUCCCCAAGUUAUAAAUUAUUCUGAAAUGAGUUGGCGAAUCGCCAAGCGUAUUAUACAUCCAUAGUAUUUCAUAUCCAUACUACUGAAAAAUGACAAGCAUUAAAUUAUAAACAUAAAUUAUUGGAAAAUAAUAAACAGCUACGCAAUAGUAAUGGAUCAUAUCAUCAUAGUGAUACAGUUCGAUGUGGCCUAAACAGUGACAGCACCAUAGGUGUUUAACUAAACCUUAAAUGCAACUUCCUCAAACAUGCAUCUUCCAUUAUUUUAUAUAUAUAUACACAAUUAUGUAUGUUUACUGGAUAUGUACUAUUGUCAUCUGCAUUUAUAUUUAUAUCCAUUAUCAAUAUAUGUCAUAGCUUCAUGGUCCAUCUUCUUCUAGAAGUCCUUUUUUUCCAGUUGUAUAGGUUAUUUUACUUAUGAGCUCUAUCUUUAUAAUGUUUUAUUUUUCUCUCUUAGAGAUUUCAAAUGUACAUAUGUGGAAUUACUUUCUCGAUGAUAUGUUGAUAUAUAACUUAUAUGCAUCCUAUAACUUAUUGAAUUUAACAUAGUAAAUAGAUAACGUCAGUAUGAGUAUGAUAACAUAACAAAUUAAAAACCGAUGUCUAUUUAAUGCUAACUAUAACUCUCAAAGCAAAAAUGUUUUAAAUGUUCGUAAAAGAUAUUACGUUUAUGAAAUAAGCGAGACUUUGUUAUAUUUCAGGUUCGUAAAGUAAGAAUAUGUGAACACAGAGCUACUUUAUGAAAAUGGAGAUUAAUUUGUCUUAUUACAUAAAUCAAAGAGUCUGGGUUCACAUAUUUUAUUUGCCUUUCCACAUAAAAAAGAAUAAGAAUGCUUUUUCACGUUUGAAUAUGGUUCCGGAUACUAUAUUGUCAUUUGUUAACCAGGCAAUUAGGCGGUUUGUAAGAAACUAAAUCUUGUUCGUGGUACGUCAACGUGACAUAUCGCUCGCUUCAUUGUUAGUAUUUUCUUUCUUUCUUAUAGACAACUCAUAAGAUAUUAUAUCACCAUAUCUUUACGUAUUCUAAAACAUGUUUUAAUUCCAACAUGUUUGAUUCCGCCUAUUCUUUUUCAAAAAGACAAUUUUAUAUUCUUGUUGUUUUGUGAUUAUUGUCGAUCUAUUUUUUAAAAAAAGUUUUAUGACAAAGGUAUGCAUGGAGAACUAGAAGUUGAUCUUUUUUUUAUCAAGACUAAAGUCAAAACUCAAAAGCAAUAUAUUUUUUGGGGUCAACAAUUUAAUAUCAAAGCAGUAAAAAUUGUAUGGUCUGAUGGUCUCAUUAGUGGUUAGAAAUAUCUGCGUUUUAGGUACUCCAGGGUGUAAUCCUAUGACACCCGCGGAUGUAAAAAACACACACACACACAAGAAUCGUAUAUGUUAGUUUAAUAAACAAUAACAACGUAGCUCUUUCAUGCGUACAUAUGUUUCAUGUAUCUAAAUAUCUAUCAUAUGUUUACAUAUCAUGAUUUUACAGAUGCAUACAAUAAUACGUAUGUAGGCAUGUGCGUUAACAAGAAUAAGCAAAUCUUAUCUUAACAAAUCACAUAUAAAACAUAUAAUUUUUAUCUUGCAUAUCGGUAUAGUUCGUCAUGUCUCUUCCACUACAAUUAUACGAAUGAUCACAUUUGAGAUCAUCAGGAACGUGGUAGCCGUCAACGUACAACUGAGAUUUCUCUCUGCUUUUUCUUUUAUUAACUAGUACUAUAGUACAUAUAUAAUUGAUCAAUAAUGGAUCGCUUAAUUCCAAGAAAAAUACUAUUUAAAUUCAAAAGAACCGGUCAUUUCUUGUCAAACCAAUACGUAGAGAGUCAAUUGGUCACCAAUUUGAGUAAUUUAAAACCACUUGGAUCAACUUUUAGGUAAGAUAUAAAUUAUAAUGGACAAGGUUAUAUAUAUAAUAAUGGACAAGGUUGGGCAAUGAGAAAGAAAAGCCUCACUCAAAAUCCAAUGAGAAAUUAUCUUUGUGAGGAGAUUAGUAGAUUACAAAAAUCUUAGCAUUUUUUUAAUCUUAUUUUCCAUUUUUUCAAUAAUGGACUGCUUUGUUGAUAUAAAGAAGUCUUGAGAUCAAAGAUUCGUAUUAGGUAAACUGGUAAAGUUUAAAAUUAACGAGGUCUUCCAUGCUGUCAAAAGUUUAGUUGAAUUAUGCUUCUGAAAUUGAAAUCUGUUAAAUGGUUUACAACAAGGGAAAUAUACUGCCUCUAUGUUAUAAUAAUGUACAAGUGCAUCUGUAAAAUCAAAAUAUACACUCGUAUGGAUUUGGUUGUUGAGACAUUUUUCUGCAUGUAAUAAUUUUCUUUUUAGAUUCAUAUUCGAGUAUGCAUGUAGUACUGCAUGAGCUUUCUUUUAGUGUGUGACUCUCAACUCAACUCAAAUUAAUUUAAUUUUAUGUUAUAGUCUAACCGUACACCCAACAUAACACACAACAUCACAUAAGGUAGAUCUGUUACAUGAAAGCAUUAACGUAUGCAUGGGCAUCAAAUAGUGAUGUUUUUAGUUUUCUACCAGUAUCACUAGAAUAAUUAGCAUAUAAUUUGGUCAUGUAUGAUGCAACGUAAAAACAAGUAGGCCCAAGAGAGUGGAGGGACUAAUAAAUGGGCAUACGCUGAGUUCAAUAUAAAACCAACUAACUGGCCCAUAAAAGCCCGUAUCACGAGAGUUAGCAUUGGUUAGCAAGCUCCUAUCACAACUAUUUUCAUAAAAUCUUGUGAUUGAUAGGUCUUACGAAUAUCUUGUGUAUCUACUAUCUAUGCGAAGGUACAGAUGUAGUAGACUCGAUAUUUUUUCGAAAUCAUGCUAUUAAAAGUACAUGAAGUUUGAUGAUACAAGUCAAGAUUAAUGAACUGACAAAAAGAAGACGAAGAUUACUCUGUUUCCAUCAUUAUCUCUCUCUCCAUUUACAUAUCUAAAGACACCUAAAACCUACAGAGGAACUAAAAUAGGUAACUAAGAGACAUCCUCUAAUACAAGACUCGCUAUCUUACUCUCAAUUUUCAGCUUUUGUUGCUGUUGUUACAGCUGCUUAUCUUACUCCGUUUUUGACUAGGAGUUCUGAUAUCUCCAAGAGGCCCUAAGCGCAGAGAUAGAUCACACCCAUCAAAGGUAGUAGUGCCCUUUGUUGCAUCAGCGGCAAUCACAGGUUUGCUGCUCUUGUUCGACUUGUACGAGUCAGUGACAUUGCUAGAUCUUGGCAAAGAAGGAACCCUGAAUGAAUAACACAAAGGGUAGCUUGAGUACUUGGAGACAGAACAUCUCUCGACCCGCUUCUCUUGAACGUCGCUGUGAAAACUCAUAACCUGAAGAUUCUUCGGACAAAAGUUGUUCUGUUUCAUGAAGGCUUGGUAUUGCGGAUACAAAAUGGUGUCCAACUUAGUUGAGUCUUGGCUAAGAUAACAUCUGGGGUUUAUGUUCCGUUGGCUUCUUGAAGCUCUCCUUGGCGUGCAACCCAAAUGCAAAGCAGCUACAGAAACAAAAAAAGACUUUGCUCUCAUUGAUCUGGGCCUAGAAGAAUGAAUAAUAAUUCAGAGUGUAUACCUUCAAUACAAGGCUGAAGAAACUCCCCUGUUUCAGUGGUCUCAUCGAGUCUAAUUAUGGUGUUAAUUGCGUCGUUUGUACGGUCUAAAAGUGUAUUCAUGUCCAUAUACUCAGCCUAAAGAUGAAACCCACAAAUAGUAAAAUCAAAUAAAUAUUCAAGAUUUUAACUAACUUUAACACUUUAUUUACAAAUCUAUUAAUCAAGUACAGAUACAGUGACAUGAGUUCCAAUGUUCAUUAUGAGAUGGAGCAGAACAUCACAAGUAACACUGUAUCUAUCUCACUGUUCAAUGAACUACUUCUCUGUUUCACAUUAACUGAAGCAAGAUUACUGUUGAAAAACAGUCUUUUAAAUUUCGAAAUUAAAUUUUUUUUUUGGGAGAAUUAAAAUGUAAUAAAGAAAAGAACCUCAGAAUUGGCUUUGGAGUACAUGAUUUCUUCAGCUCGCAAGACAACAACAGGGAGCUUCUCUUGCCAUUCAGUGUUCUUCUUGGUGGACUGGCUGUGAAUCUCACAAACAAUCCUACAAAAAAUAGGUUUCGUAUAACAAUUGAGCUAAAAGAAAACAAAGAAGGGACACAUGCACACCUCUACAUACACUGAUACGGAGUGAGAGAGAGAGAGAGAGAGAGAGAGAAGAUGACCUGAAAAUCUCUUGGAUGAGCAAACCCCUCAAGGGUUGGUGUCUGUCACUAUGCCAAACUCUUCUGAUGCAUUCGUACGGUCUUGGCCCUGGCCUCGGCAUCUUCUUUCCCACCACUUUCUCUUAAGUUCCUAUGAGAGAGAGAGAGAGAGAGAGAAAGAAAGAGAGAGAGAAAAGACAAAGUCAGAUUGUUUUGCUUCCCCUCCUUUCACUACUCAACUCAAUAAUAUCAGUGUGGGAGAGAGAGAGUGUGUCUUGUCAGUUGGUCCGGUUCGGUUCGUUCCGGUUUACUCCGCUUUUUUAUUAUUUUCAUGGUCCGGCCUACCCUAUAGUCUAUUCUCUAUACUCUAUAGGGUUGCAGUCCAAUAAAUUAUUUUUAGAUUAUCCCUUUUCCAGAGAUAAUAAAACAAGAGCCUUCACCAACUACAGUUUAUGUUGAUAACCAAACAUUGACCAUAACUUAGUUCUACAUAUGUAUCUACAUUUGCACUAAUACUUAAAUGUAAAGCUUUAUUUCAAAGGUCUGCGUGAUUGGGAAGACUAAAACAUUAGAUGCCCAAAACGUUUUUUUUUUUUUUUUUGUCACACGCCCAAAACGUUUUAAUUCACUAUAUUACUGCGGUUGAGAUUUUUAUGCUAUUGUAAGACAUUUUACGUCUUUAUGGAAACUAGAUCCUUUGUCCGCGCUACGCGCGGAUUAUGUCUUUUUAAUUUAUUCUCUAUUUAUUUAAAUUGCUUAGCAAAGUUUGAAAGACAUAAGUUGAGUUUUAGAUUUUAUAGAGAAGUAGAGAUUUAAAAAAAACAAUGAUUAAAUUGUUUAAAAUAUAAAUAAAUCUAGGUAUCAAGUUAUGUGGGUAAGAGAAUAUUACUCCGAAUGAUGCAUGAAUUAAAGUCACUCUUUGCUGCAUGCUUUUGCACGAUCUCUUAUUCGUCCUUUGAAAUGCUUUAUGUAAUCAAUUGAUUUGUUGAAUUAGAAAUUUAUUGCUGGUGAUGAACUGAGUAGUAGUUGUCUUGGUAAAUAUUGGAUAUUAUUGUUGUGUUGAUAAAAAAAACUUAGAUCUGUAUUAUUUUUUGAUGUGUUUAAAAAAAAUAUUUACCUUGGAAAAGUUUAGGAAUUAUGCUUGUCAUGAUGACAACUUUAAAUUUCCUAUCCUUCUUGCUUUGUAGGAUGCUAAAAUCUGCUGCUUGCUUGUCGCACAGUAUGAGUUUAACCAUUAUCGACCUGAGAUAGAGGUGUAUGUAUGAAUAUAAUUAUGAUUUCAUUAUUACCUAUUGUGUUAGACUUACCUGUUCAGCCGUAGACCAAUCGUGGCAUCAGUAUUGAUUUUUGGGUGGUACGGAUUUCUUUUUUGGUAUUAAGAAUAUCUGCCCGACGACAUCUGCAAAAUGAUUUUGAGUUAGAAUAAAUAUUGGGAACUAGAAAUAUUGGACCGAUGUCUGUAACUUUCGAUGUUAUUGUCUUUUGGUCGAUCUGAAUGUAAUAUGGCAGUUGGGUGAGUUUUCGAUGUCGUGAAUUAUGUAUGACAGAAAAUCCUAAAAAUUCAUAUAUAUCUCCCUCGGUUAAAUUUUUUGGGUCAUUUGGCUGAAUGUAUCCGAAGAGCCGACCUUCUAAUAGUUGUCCUUGAAUGUGAACAAAUUUUGUUGUGCCGAACCAAUUAAGUAAAUAGUGAGUACUUUAAACCAAAUAUGUUGGAUAGGAAAAUACAUAUAUAUGUAUAUCUUAAAGUUUUAAUAAAAGCCUUACGUGGUGGUCGUAGCACAUGAAGCCGAUGCAAAUUUGAGUAUUAUCUGUUGGGUGUUUUCUGAUGUCCCAAACACUUCUUAUACAUACUGUGAUAGGGCGUACUGAAAUCCCUUCCUGAAGUUGGUGGAAACUUUGAAGAAUGUGUUGCAUGUGAGAUGUCACUAUAAAACAUGCGAUUUUAAUUAAGGGCAUACAUUCUUUAGAACUUUACAAAAGAAACUAUCUUCUGGGAUCAACUGUUUGAUUCUAUGAAAACAUAUAUUAAAUUAUACAUAACCUUACUAAUAUAUAUACAAAUCAAAGGCAAAAAUCAAACGACAUGAAAAUAACAAAAGUAAUCGAAAUUUUAAUAUGUAUAGUAAAAAUAUCUGAGUUGAUUCGAAAAAGUAAAUGUUAUCUAAUAUAUUCAAAUAAUAACCAAAUAGCAGAGAUAUUAUAUAUCUAAAAUUACACCUCUAAUGAAAAUAAAAUAAUGUUAUUUAAAAUAAAUAAUGCAUAUUUUUUAACAAUAUAAAUAAAAAACUAAUUAAAUAUUAAAAAUAUUAUUAUAUUUUUGUAUUAUUUAAGUCAUCUACAAUUUAUAUGUAUAAAAAUAUCACUAUAAAUAAAAUGUAUUAUUUUUUUGAGGACGUGGCAGCCUCACAAUAGAGUUCCUCAAUUGAGAAACCAACAAAAAAAAAUAUUAGCAAGAAAUUGAGAAAAUUGAGAAAAAGAAGAAAAUACGUUUUCAAAUUUGAAGUUUUUUUUUGAGAUAUUUUUUUGGAAUUUUUUUUUUCAAAUUUUUUUUUUGUAAUUCGAAAAUACUUUUUGGUUAUAUGUUUUCAAAUUCAAACUUUUUGGUUUUUUUUUUGCUUGAAAUUCUUUUUUUUUGAAGUUUUAUUUUUUUCCAAAUUUUCUUUUUGUAAUUCGAAAAUACUUUUUGAAACUAUUUUUAAAAUUUUUAUUUUCAUAUUUUGACUUUUUAUUUUCUAUUCUAUAAAAUUUUAAACAUCAAUCCAAAAUCUUCAUCCAUUAACUCUAAACCAUAAUGUUUGGAUUAGCUAACCCUAGGGGUAGAAGUAUAUAUCUAUCUUUAUAAUGUAACAUUUUGGUCAUUUUGAUUCUUAUAGUAUAUAUCUGUGACAUAAAUUUUUUGGGUGUUAUCUUUGGUAUUUCCCUUUUAAUUUUUUCUAACCAUUUAAUCUAACUUUAAAAAAUUUACUCUAACAUAGUUUUCUCUAACUUUUAAAAAAAAAUUAUAACGAAAAUUGUAUUAUAAAUGUUUAAUCUCAUUUCUAAUUUCCUCUAACCAUUUACAAUCUUUAGAAAUUUCUUUGAAAUUUUAAGCUUUCGCUGUGGGGGAUUAUUAUAAAGAAUAUAUUAAGUAAACACCAUGUUGUGGAGUUAUUAUAUAUUUAUAUACAAACCUACAAAAGUAAGAAUGCGGAAUACCUGUAGUCUCCAGAGGGGGUGAAGGAGGUGGGUUAUCCAUUCUUUUGCAGUCUUGAUCCUUACAAACAAUCCGACCGCAAGCUAGAGAUCUGGAUGUAGGUUUGUACGCCAAAUAUGUAGAACACAAUAGCAAGUAUAGGUUAGUUAACGAAAUCUGGAUGUAGAGUUUGUACGCCAAAUAUGUAGAACACAAUAGCAAGUAUAGGUUAGUUUAAUGACCUUGGGAAACCCAGUAGGAAAUGUAGGCAUGUAUAACCAAGUAAGAAAUAAGUAGUAAAAUAAUUAUUCACUUACGUAUGAAGUUUGAAGUAAGUUUUUUUGUAUGUAUUGUUUCUUGGAAGAAAACGAAAUUGAUCUGAGUCUAGGCGAAUCCAUUUGAAGAGAGAAUGUUUAUCGACGGAUUAACUAAUCCACAUUGAUUUGAGUCUUAAAUGUUAGAUUCUCUUAUCUUUUCGAAAAGGAAAAUAUUUAAUUACUUAGUGUUAGACCCAACUAAGACUAUAAAUGAUUUGAAUCUUAAACUGCCUUCAUCACGUUUGUCAUUUGAGAUAUAUGUUUCUACUUGCGGUGAUUCUGAGAAAUGAUGAGAUUCGAUUUUUAAUUUUCUUUAGACUCUAAUCAAUGUGGCACGAAAACUACUUAGUAAUUUAUUGCAUUAACACAGAAAGAACCUCAAAUUUACCAAACUUCUACAAAAAAAGCACACAUAAUAAUCUAAAGAAAAUAAAAAAUUAGAUGUUCCCCGCAAGUAGAAACAGAUGUUCUCAGCCAUAUUGCGCUUAAACGUACCUGCAACUGUAUUAAAUCGUAUCUUGAAAUUUUGAAAUUCACUUGGCUUAAGCAAGAUCAAAUGAGCUAAGAUAAUAUAAUUCAUAACCAAAUAGCGCAACACCCUAAUAAUCAUGCAAAUGAGACAUGAAAAAAAACUCUUGAAAAUUCAAAGGUAAAAGGAAAGCAUGAAAAAAUCUAAACUGAAAACAAAGACUCUGAGUGCAAUGGAACUUGCAACCUUUCAGGCUAGAAUGUAAAUUCUAGUUUCCAGACUUUAGGCGUUUAGCUUCCUCCACCUUGGCGUUGUCACACGACCUCUUACUCCCCACAUCUGCAGAACCUACACGGCUUUUGGAAGCUUCACACACAUCAUUUCCAGUCUGGAACGGUUCAUUGGGCGUUGCAGCAAUGCUGUUUCCUGCCGAGGUCUCUGUUUCGGUUGGAGUGUCUAGAGGGAGGAUCUUGGUCACAGUUAGAGCUUGGGUCUUGCCUGAUAAGUUGUGCUCUGUCAACUUCACAUAAAACUUGUGUCUUUGUCCGAUGGUGUUGAUUAGAGCUUCCGGGACAGGCACCUCUUGGUCAACUCCUAUGUCAGCAUUAGCCUGACAAUCAGCACAACAGUGUGAGUUCAAUUCAUCUAAGAUUCUAGACUGAUUAUUAGUUACCUCAAAGUAGCUGCUAACUAAUUCUGAUGCAUGCCUUCCAGUUAGCGCACGCCCAGCAUCAACAAGUAGUACAAAAACAGCUUGGUCACUGACUCAUUAGAAAAAUUCCUUCUUUCAUUAAUUAAAACGGUACAGAACCAGUGUGUAAAUGAUUAUAAACUGAAAAAGAGAUCACCAUUCACAAAAUUUCAUCAUUUAUGGCUUCUGGUGAAACCUGAAAACCGAAUCUGGUUUUUAAAAAUUUAAAAAGAAAGAAGAUAGAAGGAGAAAAACAGCUGCAUAUAUAAUCUGAGAUUCACUUGCAUAUAGCUAUAAAGAUUUUCAGAGAAUUUCAGCAUGCAAAAAUUUAAACACACAAAAAAAGAGAAGAAAAACUCAGAUUAUAUAUAUUUUUUUUUUAAAGGCAAAGAGGCAAUCAGUAAAUAGUUAUUUAAUCUUUGAAAAGAAUGUGUACCGGUGGGGGUUCAUGAUCAUCAAAACUCGUGCUUUUCCUAGAUCCGGUAGAAGAAAACAAUAUAGCACACUUCACAAAAUAUGAUCUAUAAAUCUGAGCUUUACUCCACCAAACUGCUUGAGAACAAACAUUCUAGAGAAUAAGCCAGCAAGAACCCACUUCAACCAAUACAAAUAGCUAAAGAAAAAAACGGAACCCGUAACGAAAUGAUAAUGAAAGGGCGUCAGUCUUUUGUACAGAGUAAAUAGAAUAGGUAUAUAAAGAAGGAUGAACAUGAGGAGAUGAAACGAAAACAUAAAAGACAAAAUUGAAUGAUGAAAUAAAAAAAAGAGUUUCGUUUGUGUAGAAGUUGAUCGAUCAGAGCUCUGUCUCUACGGUCUGAAUCGGAGGAGACGAAGAGGCGGAGGCGUAGAUCCUUGAGAGCUCCGUCUGCUCUAGGUUUCAUCGAGACCUCCGUGUUUUUUUUUGUUGAAUUUGUCGACAAAAGACAAUAGAGCGAAGCCCCAAACCCAUAAAAAAUACCCACCAAAGGCCCAAACGUAACAGAAACAACAAAGCAGUUCAUGUGACGUGUCCAGACGAAAUAUUGUGAUUGGUUGAUUAUUUUGGGUGAUGUGGCAGUCUAAAAUCUCAGCAUAUUGAGCUUUUAGUAGUGUUAGAUUUUAAUUCAUUAAAAAUAGUAUUUCUUAGACAUGAAAAAUAUAUACCAUAUCAACUGUUUCAAAUUCUUAAUUGGUGUAACGUCAUAAAAACAGCAAUCAUUAUUAAAAGCAAUGCCCUUUAUAAAAAAAACAUUAUUAAAAGCAGUAAUUGUUAAACUGGAUGUUUUUCUUAUAUAAAUCAUACCUUUUUUGGAGAAAAAAAGCUACUAUAAAUCAUAAGUUGAGAAAAAAGAAAGAUAUAAGUGAUAAAAUACAAACAAACUUUAACUUGUAAUGAAUACUGAUGUACAUAUGUAAUACAAUAAAAUUAUACCGUUCAUGAUGAGAGAAGGAAACAAAAAAGGUUGAGAGAAGGAAACCCUAAUCUUAAUAGGGGAAGCCCGACAUUGUUUCCUCUCUUCUGCGUUUUGUUUCUCUGCUUUCCAGUUGCUGUCAUCUUCACAGUCCAGCGAGAAAUCACCGCCGCAGUUUCGCCGGAGCUUGGCUUCCACUCACGAAAUCUACACGCUUCUACUCCGGCGGUUCGAUUUCGUCAGCAGAUUCCUAAAGACGACGAACAGCUUCUCCGACUCGCUUCCCGGGUCAACCCGAACCAGCCUUCUCCCGGGUCGAUUCGGAAGCUGGCUUUCAUGUAUCUAACGACGUCGCCUCUUCCGUUUGCGCCUCUGUGGGAAGCCUUCUUCAACGGAAGCUCCGAGGAGCUCUACAAUGUAUACGUUCACGCAGACCCGACCCGAGAAUACGACCCGCCGUUCUCCGGCGUGUUUGAGAAUCGUGUAUGGCUAGAACCGUGUUGUUUAAUGACUCGGCAUGUGGUGCGUGAAUGGUUCUCUGAUGGCUUUGUUGUAAAUUUAGAUGUAGUUUUAGUUCUUUUGUUUUGGUCAAGAAGUAGAAAAAAAUAAUUGUAAUCUAAUGGGUAGCUGGGACAAAAGAACCCAGUCUAUCAUUAUCCAAGGGGCUUGUUGAGUUAGACGUCAAAGCUCAUCCUCAUAAAUUCGCAACUGAAGUUAAGCAUCAGCAAAUCAAUUUACCUCGGUCACUGACCAAUGUAAUGGGAAGAAAAUGAAUAUAUAUAUAUGCAUGCCAAAGUUCCUCAAAAUCUUGGGUUAGUCUACAUCUCAAAUGGAUAUUAAGCAAUUUACUAAUUUUUAAUCUUCAGUUCAAGAGAUUUUACAAGUUAGAGAAUCAAAUACAGGACCAGGAGAGGUACACGAACUAUCUAUGUUUCAUGUUCUGCAUUGGCUUCUUAUUCUGUUAUAAGGAGCAAGUGCUAAUACAGUUAUUUACGAUUUAGAACACAUAACUUGGUAUUUGUUCUAGUUUGUUGUCUAGUGGCUUUAGUUGCUGAUUCGUUUAAAUAUUUAGAUUUAUUUACUUUCCUUGGUUUAUCGAAAAAGAGUGAUUUAUUUAGCAGGAAAACUGAUAUACAAGAGAACAUGAAGUAUGCUUAAUUGCUUAUAUAACCUGUUUGGUUACAAGCGAAACAUCAAAUAGCUACAAACAAGCUUAGUCACCUGAUAUUUUAACAUAAACAGAUUUUAUCACAGAAUAUAAUAUAAUUACAUUUACCAAUCGCUACUCGCUUGCUUCACCCAACUCAAACCAAAGGGGGGCAAAGAUAACCAAGGCGAUCUCAGAAGAUUUCAAUGUUUUACAAUAGGUAUAAAAGUUCAAAAAAAAAAAGGGUUUAAAUGACAUUAUUAAUCAAACUCAAAAGAUAAACAGUCUCAGAAGUUCAAGCAAACUCAUAACCAGGAAGAUACAAGAAGCAACCGGAUUAUAACACAAGAAAACAUGAGAUACCAUCUGUGUAUUGGUCGAAAAAUAUUAUAUAUUUAUGUAAAUAAAAUGAACAAAGCUCAGUAAGGGUUGUUGUAGUAAUACCCCAUCGGCGGCGGUCCCAUCCCAUUAACCGGUGGCAUCCCAUAAGGCAUUCCGUUCGGGGCAGGACUCAUCUUAGCCAAACUAGCUUGACCUCUCAUCCCUUCUUGCUGAUACUGCUGCCAUAACUGCUGCUCCUGAGUCAACAGAUGCUGCUUUUUGUCCAUCUCAGCCAUUUGCACAUACGAAGGAGGCGGGAUGGUCAGUGAAGCAGCGAAAGGGUCUUGGUUCACUUUCUGAACGGUUCCAUCAGGUGCAGGGAGUGCUAGUAUAUGGCUGUUGGUCUUACUCGGUAAAGGUAGCGCCACGCUGCUUGAACUUCCACCGGUUAACUCCGAGGUGCUCACGUGUUGUCUAACAGCUCCUUGAUCGUACAUACCGUUGAGCAGCAACGGGUCUAAACCACCGCCCAUCGCGGCUUUCUGAUGCUCUAGGUUGCUAGCUGUCUCGACCAACGCAAGCUCCCAAUCAGCCUUACCUUGCUCCGCAGCUGGAUUCUGCCAAGCUGAUGUCACCUCGCUGUUAUCAGAAGAGAACGCUUCCCAUUUUCCGUUACUACUAGCAGGACCGGCGAAAAGAGCAAGAGCAAACUUGUUCCCUUGGUCAUCAACACUAACACCAUCCUCCCUCAAGUCAACUAGAUCAUUAGUUACUUGCGGUUGCUCCGGCUUCACCUCUGGCUUUGGCGGCGGAGGUGGAGGCGGAGUGUAGUUCUCCGGAGGAGGAAGAGCUUUGAUCUCAUUCAUAUCAACCUCCGCCUCCUCCUCAGGAGCCGGAGCAGGAGGAGCUUCAAUCUCCUUCCGCUCCGGACUCUUCCCCCUCUUAGCUCUAUCCCUCACAAACUCCUCAAGCGUCUCCAACAACUUACUAGUAAUCCUCUGCACCUCAGGAUACUCAGAAGAUCUCGCCACACCUGUAUCCUUACACCAAUGGUAAAAAGCAAUGAGCUCAUCAAUCUGUUUCGCCGCGCUAGCGUAAGCAUCAAACGCCUUAACACAAUCCGUAUACUCCAUCUCAAAAAACUUAUCAAGCAGAACCGCCAACACUUCGCAAAUAUCAGCAUAAAGCCUGAAACUCUCUUUCACAAUGGGAUACAUAGCAACCAAUAUCAUCCUGCUGCUUUUAGCUAAACCGGUGGGACGAGAGGAUAAGAACCGUUCAUUGGGCGUUGCAGCAAUGCUGUUUCCUGCCGAGGUCUCUGUUUCGGUUGGAGUGUCUAGAGGGAGGAUCUUGGUCACAGUUAGAGCUUGGGUCUUGCCUGAUAAGUUGUGCUCUGUCAACUUCACAUAAAACUUGUGUCUUUGUCCGAUGGUGUUGAUUAGAGCUUCCGGGACAGGCACCUCUUGGUCAACUCCUAUGUCAGCAUUAGCCUGACAAUCAGCACAACAGUGUGAGUUCAAUUCAUCUAAGAUUCUAGACUGAUUAUUAGUUACCUCAAAGUAGCUGCUAACUAAUUCCGAUAAAAAAAAAAAAAAAAAAAAAACAGAGCAAGUUCGUUGAGAGAUUGAAGGGAGAUUCCGAGUUUAAUCAGCAAAGAUCAUUACGAAAAUUGAAAAUUGAUAUUUUAGUUUUUGGUGGAAAUAUUCUUUAGGAAAAUACCUUUCUUUCGCUAGAUCUGAGGGAGAGAGAAGUGUUCUCCGGUGGAGGAAAUGUUAAUUCACGGGCGGAGGAGACGGAAUCGGGAUCUGAGAUCUAUGAGGAAGGUGAAGAAGAAGAUCUCAUAUUACGACUUAUUUGGCGGUGUGACAGAUCCAUCGAACGAGUCCAAGAUGAAGUGGCUUGGGUUUAGACAGAGGGAGAGGAUUUAAAGAGAGUUUGAGUUGUGGAUGACGUGGAUUAAUGAAAGCCGUUUGAUCUAAAGGAGAUGCGAUGUGAUUUUGUAACCGGAACUAACGGAGCCGUUUUGUCUGAGUCUUGCACUCUCUGGUCUGAACACUGUUAGUGAUUUUUCUUUUUUUUUUGUGAAAAGCAAUGUCAACGUUUUGUAGGAGUUUUUAUGUGUGUUUACAGCUGUUUGUAUAGUUUCUUUUACUAGAUGAUUUUCUUUAUAUUUCUAAAAAAAGUAUUUUUAUUAAUUUAUGAGAAAAAGACUAGAAUAGCACUAAACCAAGUUUAUGUUCCCAAAGUAGCACUCAAGGCUCAAAGUCACAAAAAUAGGUUUCAUUAAAGAGGUAAAUAUACAUUUAUACCCCUUGGGUUAAUUAAUCCAAACCUUAGGGUUUAGAGUUAAGGGGUGGGGUUUUGGAAUUAGGGUUUAAAAUUUUAUAAAAAAAAAUACGAAAAUAAAAAAUAAAAAUUUUAAAAACAGUUUCAAAAAGUAUUUUUAAAUUAUAAAAAGAAAAUUUGAAAAAAAAAAAUAAAAAAAAAAUUCGAAAAAAAAAAAUUAUAAAAAUUUCGAAUCUGAAAAAUAUAAUCUGAAACUAUAAAAAAAAAAAAUUCUUUUUUUCAUUUUUUUUAUUUUUAUUUUAUUUAUUUUUAUUUAUUUAUUUUUGUUUGUUUAUUUAAUUUUAAACCAAGGGUAUUAGGGAUAUUUUACCCUUUAAUGAAUGUCAUUUUUGUGACUUUCUCCUUCUAGUGCUAUUUUUGAGACAUAAACUUCAAAGGUGCUAUUAUUGACAAUUGCCCUUAAUUUAUUGCAGAUUUUCAUUUUGUUUACUUAAAAAUCUUUAACAAAAUUUAGAUAGAAAUUCCUUUACUGUUAAUUUUAACAAUAAUUAAAUAAUUAAUUUUGACAACAGAGAUUUUUUCAUAAAAUAUCUCAGUACGUAUUUAAUUAAUAAUAAUAAAAUGAGAAAAUACUUUCAUUUAGUAUUUUCAUGAAAUACUCAUAAAACAUGUUAUUUUAUGAAUGGUACAACUUAAAGAAAUAAAAUUAUUGCAUUAUUAAUUUAUAAUAAAAUAUUAAUAUUUUGUGAAAAAAAUAAAAGAAUUAAGAUGUCAUAGAUGGAGAUGCUAUUACAGCCUGACAACACAAUUCCGCUAUUAAAGCCUGACAACACAAUUCCGAAAGUACAUUUCUUCGAUCAUUCCUUUAGAUGGCACUAAACAUGUCAUUAGCAUUAAAUAAUAUAUCACAAUGCAAAUCUAUAACUAUCAUAUAAGACUUCUUAUCGAGAUUAUCCAUUAGUAGCAUCACUCUUACAGAAGUGGAUCCAGAUUAGCCAAGUAUUAACAGUCUACAUUAAAUUCCCUGACUUUGGUAAUGUCAAAAUCUUAAUUUCCCAGUAGACAUGACUAGAACCUUUAUGGCUUCACCAUAUUAAACUUUACCCUCAAAUUAAUCACCACCUGAGACCACAAGUUCUGGUUAGACUAUCACUCCCGUGGAACAUAUAUAUCUAAUAAGCGGCAUGCCAAUCUUAUAUUCUUUCAUGUCAUUCAUUUUUGUUUAUUCAUGAUUAUCCAUCUUGUUCUGAUCUGUUCAAAACUUAAGAUUUUGGAUCAUCCUCAGAUCAAUUUAAAGUGGUUUCAGAUAUUUAAGUGACAUGCCCAUACUGACACAACCAGUCACGAAUUUAAUAUCAUGGUUCCACAUCCAUCGAUUUCAGUUUAUGUUUCUUGUUCUUUUUUUUUCCUAGUUUCUCAAUUAAACGAGUUUAAUUUUUUAAAAAAUUUGGAAUGCCAGGAAGGGAUCGAUAAUAUCUAAAAAGCUAUUCAGUUUCCACUUGAUUUAUUCACUGAAUUCUUCUUAUUUACAAUCUUACUUGUAGACACGCUUUGAACCACUAAUUGAAUAGAUCAGAAAGAGUGCAACCAAAGAGGGUAAACACUCUGCGACAAUUGAUGGUCAGUUGAUGUUCAUAGGAUCUAUUUUUCGAUCAUUUAUGUGUUCCUUAAUGAUCUAUAUUUCAUCUUGUAGUUUAUUUGGCAAAUCUGUUGCCUGUUUAUGCUUCUUUAUGUAUCUUUUCCUCCUCUAGAGGAGGUUGAAACAUGAAAUUAAUAAGAGUAUGAUUUGUCCAAAAAAGAGGAAAUUUCUUUAUGUUACCGUCCAUGUUUAGCCAUGAUUCUUGAUAAGUGACAAAAUACCUAAACCAAUGAACUGGAUACUAAAGGAGAAUACAGAACAAGAAUUCGAGUAGAAAUUUAAUCAGAUAGAUAGUAUUCGAGUUGAAUAUUUUCUUAUCAUUAAAACAAAAGUCUUGUAUAUGGACACGGACAAUCUCUAGUUAUUGAUAUUCGAUGAACAGAUUCAGCAAAGAUCCUGCAAAACCAAAUCAAGAAUUUAGACAUUGAUAUGCCAGUCACCCAUAUCCGAAUAUAGAGAAGUAAUUACAUACUUCCAUGGAACAUCCCCUGGUAAUAGCCAGUCACCCUCUUUCCCCUGGAAGGUGAAUUUGUAACUUGUAUCUUCUCCAAUCUUGGUCUGACAAAACAAAAAUAUAUUUAGUGUUCAGAAGACUCUUGAAAAGUUAUAUGAUAUGUUUCAUUUGUUUUAUAGGCUUAGGAGAGUGUUUACUCACAUUGACUAAACAUGGCGAUCAAGGAGUUCGUGAGAGACUCGUAAGAGUUGAAAAGCUUGAUGUCCACCUUUCUUGUUAUUGCGACACCAUCCAUCUUCACUUUAACAUACAUUGAUGAUCUCAAUGAGGUUAACGGUCCACCUCUUUCAGUGGUAGCCGGUUGAUUAGAUAUGUUGAUCCUCCUACCAUGAUGGUGAUAUGGGUGAUUACGACUACGAUGACGAUAAUUAAGAUACUUUUUCAUACAUGACUUUAUUGGUGGCCAUCCAACGACUUUGCAAUUCUCUUCCUCGCUAUAUAUAAAAAUUUAAUUAAGUAUUUUAAAGAUACAAUGCCUCCCCGAUUUUUGUAUAACUACGCAACGAUUCUAAGAAACUUGUAAGUACGUAAUCCAUAUAUUAUAUGUAGAGAUAACUGUUUUUUUAACCUUACUAUUGUCAAAUAUAGAGUUUGUUACUCACUCGUACACAACAGAAGAGUCGGGCUCCAGAGGAUCAUCAUCUUCCUUGUCUGACUGGCCAUUCAAAGAAAAUGAACGUGGUUUUGAUACAUAACAAUCUUCUUCCAUAUUUUCCAACCCAAGCAUCGCAUCAAAACGUUUUUCUUUGGUAUUCAAAUGCUUGUUGAGAUCGAAGCCUAACCCGAAAUUUGAAGAAUUAGUAUGAGGUGAAAGAGAAAGAUCAAGAUCCAGCUCCAUUUCUGGUGAAGCUUCGUCUUUGAUGAAAAAAGUUUAUGUUCUUUUGUUGUUUGGCUUUGGAAAAGGUUGUGUGCAUAAUUAGAGGAUCAUGAGUAUUCCCUAUUUAUAGUAAAAAGGAAAGGGUACCAAAGUCAAGGAAGGAUAUAUGGCUUUAUCGUCAAUAUAUAUGUACUCACACAAAUAUAGAUGUCGAUGGAUGUGUUAUGGUAUCUUAAGCAACACGAUGCUACAUAAACUAAACAAGUAAUCAAUCAAAGUAUUAGAAUACUAAUUAUUCCUUUUCCGUUAAAUCCUCAACUAUUAUAGUUCAUAUAUUUUUUUCUUGGACCAACAACUAUAACAUAUACUUGACUAGAGGAAAUCAUCUUCAAAAGUUACAUCGUAUUUAAUUAAAUUUCAUAUCCAACAUGAAUUAAAUAACGUUUCACCGGUUAAACGAACUAUGUUUAGGUGAAGAUAAUAACAGAGAUUCAUUCUAACUAUUAUACUUAAGUAGCUUAGCAGACUAGCAAUCGUGCAAAAUUAAGCAUUUAAAACAACGAGAACGAUGACGAUAAUUAAGAUACUUUUUCAUACAUGACUUUAUUGGUGGCCAUCCAACGACUUUGCAAUUCUCUUCCUCGCUAUAUAUAAAAAUUUAAUUAAGUAUUUUAAAGAUACAAUGCCUCCCCGAUUUUUGUAUAACUACGCAACGAUUCUAAGAAACUUGUAAGUACGUAAUCCAUAUAUUAUAUGUAGAGAUAACUGUUUUUUUAACCUUACUAUUGUCAAAUAUAGAGUUUGUUACUCACUCGUACACAACAGAAGAGUCGGGCUCCAGAGGAUCAUCAUCUUCCUUGUCUGACUGGCCAUUCAAAGAAAAUGAACGUGGUUUUGAUACAUAACAAUCUUCUUCCAUAUUUUCCAACCCAAGCAUCGCAUCAAAACGUUUUUCUUUGGUAUUCAAAUGCUUGUUGAGAUCGAAGCCUAACCCGAAAUUUGAAGAAUUAGUAUGAGGUGAAAGAGAAAGAUCAAGAUCCAGCUCCAUUUCUGGUGAAGCUUCGUCUUUGAUGAAAAAAGUUUAUGUUCUUUUGUUGUUUGGCUUUGGAAAAGGUUGUGUGCAUAAUUAGAGGAUCAUGAGUAUUCCCUAUUUAUAGUAAAAAGGAAAGGGUACCAAAGUCAAGGAAGGAUAUAUGGCUUUAUCGUCAAUAUAUAUGUACUCACACAAAUAUAGAUGUCGAUGGAUGUGUUAUGGUAUCUUAAGCAACACGAUGCUACAUAAACUAAACAAGUAAUCAAUCAAAGUAUUAGAAUACUAAUUAUUCCUUUUCCGUUAAAUCCUCAACUAUUAUAGUUCAUAUAUUUUUUUCUUGGACCAACAACUAUAACAUAUACUUGACUAGAGGAAAUCAUCUUCAAAAGUUACAUCGUAUUUAAUUAAAUUUCAUAUCCAACAUGAAUUAAAUAACGUUUCACCGGUUAAACGAACUAUGUUUAGGUGAAGAUAAUAACAGAGAUUCAUUCUAACUAUUAUACUUAAGUAGCUUAGCAGACUAGCAAUCGUGCAAAAUUAAGCAUUUAAAACAACGAGAAUACGAGAUAGUUUCCCUCACAAAAUUAAUUUUAGUUGGUUUCUAAUAUGUAUACAUUUAAGGCUUUCAAAUGAAGAGAAAGGUAGUGAGGAAGUUCCGAAGGGGAAAAGAGAAACAAUGACCUUUGUCUUUUGGGAUGGAAGUAAUGACUUCCGACAUUAAUUAAGUUCAGGUCGGCCAAUAUCCUAACAUUGAUGCUAACACCUUUGUACAUUAGUAGUAUUAUUUUAUCUAAAUUGUUAUGCUUUUCAUAUAUAAAAUAGUUACUUUUAUUCAAUAUUCAUCUACACUAAAUGUUAACUCCUUUCUUUGCAGUUUUGUAACUUCGGCUACAAAUAUAUAACUACAAUCGAUACAAUAUAUGGACUUGUAGAUACAUUUCUUACAUGAUAAAUUAUUAAUUAUAUUUAAUCAUAUAAACUUGUAAUCGAUUUUUUUUUGUGGUUGGCUUAUACCUUAUUUUCUAUGUUUGCGUUACAACUCACAUUUAUCGCAAUAUCCAAUUAGCGUAUUUAUUAAGAGAACUAAAGCAAAUACCAAAGAUAUGAUAAAAGUGUGUUUGUAUGAUUGUAUCUAUAUUACUAAGCUAGAAAUAAGAAGAGCCAUCGACCAUCGUUAAGGGACACAUGAUUCAACGAAUAUAGACAUGCAACAUCCAUCUAAUAUGGAUAUUAAUAGACAAGUUUGGUUAUUGUUGGAACGGACUACCUCCUAUAUUUUUGUUUACAUUCUAUGUUUCUACUAGAAAAUUGAUUUCACACGGAGUACAUUUAAGAAUGAUGUUAUCCAAUAGCAACCUCUGAAUUGUUUACAGCUUGUCACAAUUGUGUUAACCUCUUAAGAGGCAACUAUCACUAGGCUCUCUUCCAGCUUGAUUUCACUAUUACAUUUUUGACUUAAUCUACACAUGUUUGGGGAAGAGUUUAGAUCACUAUUAUGACUUAUGAGUAAGAGCUAGCUAUUAACUGUAUGCCUAUCCUGAGCUUGAGUACACUGCCUAUUUGGGUAGAAAUAUGUUACUUUUAUAAACAUUUUCUUUAACAAGUGUUUUGUUUUUGUUAUUUGCGUAUAUGGAUCAUACAACAUAUUUUUGUUAUUGCGGAUGUUUUGUGUAGAUAGCAUAUCAUGUCAGUCGACAGACUCGCACUCAUAACCAAGUUACCUCUCUCCGGUAGAAUUACUAACAACUGUAUUAAAACUAAAUUAUACUCUCUCUGUUUUUUAAUAUAAGUCGUUUUAGAGAAAUUUUUUUGUUCCAAAUUAUAUGUCGUUUUCGGUUUUCUAUGUAAAAUUUAUUAAUAAUUAAUGUUAUAUGACCAAUGGUAAUAUAUCUUCUAUUUUUUUAUUGGUUGAAUUGUGGUUAGGUAAAUAAUUAAUGAUGUUUUUGUUUAGAAAAUAUAAGAAAUUAAUGGUUUUUUUAAUCUACGUGCAUAGCUGUAAAAAGACUUAUAUUAAAAAACGGAGGGAGUACUAUUUGGUCAAGCCGAUUAAGCAAGCAACAAAAACACCAUGAAGACCAGAUAAAUACAUUAAACAAAUACUAGAAGACUAUAUUGUUUUUGUAUAGUUUUUAAUCGUCUUUUAUUUGUUUUACUCUGAUCAUAUAACUGUGUAUAUAUAUAUUCAGUUGUUAGCUUGACGUUGACAUAUGUUUGUUUUAAUUUAAGAAAAAGUACUGUUGUUAAAAGGAUAUAUGCUGUGCUUGUGCAUAACACAACAUUUAAGAACUUAACCCACAACCUUUUUAAGAAAUAAUUCCGUAAGAUGUAAAUCUGGUUUACGAAAGUGACACUUGAAUCUGAAGUCUAUAUCGUAUAUUAAUAUGAAUUUUGGUUGGUCUACAUGUUUUUAAGAUCAACCAAACAGCUGAGAGUAGAUGGGGAAAUAUCAACGUGAAUGUCACGUGGACAGAGUCGUGCGUGCGUGACUACUCGUGCCGUAGUGUCGGGUCGACCACUGAAGUAAUGGGCUUUAAAGGUUGAAGGACCAUAUGACUUUUUUUUUCUUGUAAAAGAUGAAGAACCAUAUGACUUGUGGGAACCACUUUUCACAUUUGUAGUCUAGCUCGUGAAAUCGAUCUGGUUUGUUAUUAUUAUUUUUUUUAGUUUUUUUUUAUUUUUUUUUGGUAAAAAAGUUUGUUAUUAUUUCAUCAGAAAAGUAGCAAAACAUAUAAAAAGAAUAAAAACUUAUUAGUUCGUACCAUUUUUUGGUUAAGAUUAUUAGUUUAUACGUGCGACGUCAUAUUUUUAAAAACUAUAACCCAUCAACAUUUUUAGACUGAAACACCGUCAAUUUUUGCAUGAUUUCAGGGAUGCAUGUAUUUUUAAAACGGAGACUACCGAACAAAUAAAUACAACAUACUAAAAUAUCUCACCAUCAUAAAUAUAUAUAUAAUGAAAGCUAAUGUGAUAUGAUAUUAAAAUCUCUAUUUUAGGAUCGGAUGCGAGUUAUGCAGCAGGAGCAGGUACAAAACGAAUAAAAUUAUACCCAAAUCUAAUAAUGUAAUGGUCACAUAAUUUACCGACAAGAAACCUAAUCCACUCGAAAACUAAAAUUCAAGAUCUAGAAGUAGUGAGAUGUAUUAUAAAGGUCGCACGUGGGAUGAUAGAAAGUGUUUGUUUGAGUGAGGGAAGGGGACAAACAAGUGUUAUAGGAAAGGGGGGAAGUGAAUGAAUCUAACUUUGUAACUCAAAAACACUGAGAAAAAAGAGAGCUUUGAGUGCUGUUUCGGACAGCUUUGGCUUAAUGUCUUGUCUCCAUCAAGUUGUAAAUACCAAAGUCUUAUCAUGUUUCUUCUAUGUCUCCUCAACUACUAUUUUACGAAUCGUACCACAAACUUUACCCCAUUCAUUCAUUAUUCAAACUUCUUGAUACAAAGAGAUUAACGGUUCAAGAUGAAACUUUAAUGAUCGUUGGAAAUAUUCAAAUAUAUAUGAUCUAACUUUGGCUUUUCAGCACCAAAAAUAAAAUAAAAAACUAUACCAAAAUCAGAAUUUCAGAGAUUCUUGUAUAGUGUAUAACUUCCUAAUUACAAAGUCAUCUUAUUCUUCAACAUCUCAUUCACAUUCCUAGGUUUUACCUUACCUCGCCUUUACACGAGGCUACACGUUCCAGAAGGAUGACACAUGAAGUCUUAUCAGUCGAGUUUUCCCCUUAAGAGGAUGAGAUAGAAGAGUUUUUUUUUUCUUCUGCUAUCCAUCUCGAUCUCGCAUAAGACCUUUGUUUGGAUAGUAACGUCAGUUGAAUUGCACGUCCAAUACAAAUGUUGAUCCAAAAUUCAGAAUCUGGCUUCUAGUAUGCCAGCAUAUCUUGUGGAUUUGCAUGUAAAAGAUCAGCUCGUCAUCAACCUCUUCCACAAUCAUUGCUUCUUAGCCUAAAAUAUACAUUGUUUUUCUUACAGUCGAUCUUGAAUAUUUGUUGUGCUUGUAACUGAAAUAAGCUCAAAACAUAUAACAAUAUAAUGUCGACCCAAAACAAAAAGAGGGGUAAACAACAUAUUUCCAUACAAAAGUAUCGUAUAUGUUCAUCUUAAUUGCACAUAUUUAACACAUUUAACGUAAAUAAAUCUAUUUACUUUCAUUUUCAAAGAUCGAAACCUGAAACCACACAAACGAAGGUUUAGUUUGGUUUUAAUGGUUUAGAAUCUAAACCGAUUUCCAAACCAAUAAACCGAUAUCAAACCAGUUGGCAUUGAACUAAAACUAAAACCUGACCCAAUCUGAUAUCCAAAUAGUGCUCUCGACCAAACUCUUUAGAAUGUUGGGUCAGUUUCUAAUACAAAAACUAUUUCUUUAAUUGGGCCUUAGCUCACAUAUAUACAAACAUGUGACAUUCCCUAAAUAAUUUGCGGUCAAGAGAGGAAGUGAACAUUUGGAGUUACAAAUCUCACUGCAAGAGAAAAGAGUUCAUGACAAAUUAAUAUCUCUGUUUUUUUUUCUUCUUGAGGACUACUGAGUUUUCUGCAAAGUACUCUACUAGUUCCAUUUCACCAGGGAGUCCUCUAAAAGUGCCUGCUAUCUCUACAAACUCGAGUGAUGACAUGAAACACUGAGGCACAUGCGUGAAUAUUAUUUUUUUUUCCCAAGACAAUGAACGAGAUAGAUUCUGAAAAUACACAACACAAUGAAUGGAUUUUAGAUAAUACUUGACAAAACACAUAACAGACUAUGCAAGCCAUUACCAAGAUUAGGGAUCUUAGAUUGGGACAAAUUUCAAGAAGAAUCCAUAUAGUAUUUAUAAAUCUAAGUAAAUUAUACAAAUCCGGAGGUUUUUUUUUGGAUUUGAGUCUUUGUAUUUUUAACUAAAAAAUCAAAACAAAUCCAUUCAAAUCCAUUAUUAAAUCAAAUAUAUUAGUAAAUCCUUACAAUUGAAUAACACUUGAUUUUAUAUAGAAUUUAUGAAUCAUUAAACCAGUAACACAUGAUUUUAAUAUAAAUUUGAAAAUCAUAGAACCAAUAACUUUAGAUUUAGUUCGGAUUUUCAAAUCCAUUAAAAUACAACAACCAAUAACCCCUACUUAGGAUAUCCAUAUCCCAAAAACAAACAUCUGCUUCCAAACAUGACAGGUUGCAAAAUUGGGGGCAAUGGCUUGAUCUUGAGGAGGAACUACUCACACACAAAACAAGAUCUGUAAGCAAAAUAUUCAUGAACGAGAAUUAUGUGGAGACAUACCCUGAAAGCUGAGUCAGAGAUCUUCAUAUCCCUAACUUGCGAGAUACUGGUGAAGAAAUGAUCAGGGGCACGCCUACCAAGAUUGACCUUGGUUAAGGAACCUAGAUUGCUUAUGGUUUUACACUCGGAUAUGAAAUCACAGAGACUCAGAUACUUGAGCCUAGGGGCAUUAAUCAAAACCCUCACAACGCUAAUACGAUCGUUAUUCUGAAAGUCAUAGUCAUGGACACAAGUUUUUAUGGUGAGACUAGUUAAUGUCUUGGAGUGCACUCGUAAAACAUUUACACCACAUGAUCCAGGCAUUCUAACAAAGCUGAAAUCUUCAAGAACUGGACAAGAUGAGAUAAGCAACUCUAGACACGCUUCAUCGGCGUAUGUAUUGUUUUCCAAACGCAUAGUCUUGAGACAAGGCAAGGAGACAGACUCCAAAGACGUGCUCCCCACAAACACCCUACAAACUAUGGUGAUUGAGUACAUGCUCACAGGUCAGAGAUAUACGCGGUCUAUCAUUGGAAGGUGAAUCACAGUUUUUUUUCUUCUCAUACUCCUUGAUUCUUAUAUGCACAAAACUAAAACUCUUGUAAGAUUGAUGAUAUCAGUGUCAGCGUUAUCAUGUUUGGCGCAUUUUUUGCUGGAGCUAGGGACUUGUCAUUUGAUUUUUUAUGGAUAUGCUGUUGUUUUCGUAGCCAAUAUAACAACAGCAGUAUAUCUAGCAACCAUCACCCGGACUGGUACAAGUUGUUAUAGUCCUUCCUACCGGUUUGAAUCCUAUCUUAGUCAAUGUCUAAUGUCUAAUUCUCCAGGGAAGUCAAGUGGUUUGAAUAGCUUUGGCCUCAUGUGGUGCAAUGGUAAUCUAAGUAGAUAGUAAGAUUGGCCUAAACUCCCAAGACUUGCUUUCAAUUUGUUAGUUUUGCAAUGAUAGGAGUUAGUUAUAUGCGAACCUAUAUUGAUGGUUAGGACAUAUAUGUGUGGUGACUGGGAGAAGACGAUUAACUUUCCUCAGCUCUUUUCUCCUGGCUUCAUGGUACUGUAAAUCUCUCUUCUGACUUAUACUGCUUAUCUGUUUUCAUGUUCACCUAGGUUGUGUUACUCUGCUUGCGUGUUAGCUUUCUUUUUCAACUACAUCAUUUUUCUUAACACCACUCUCAACUCGGCUCUCACACAGACAAUUUGUGGCAAUAUGAAGGUCGGUUUCACUGUAUAAUUUUUGUUUUAAGUUCUUUUAUGUCUAUGAUUUUGUAAACGAAAGCAGAAACUUUGAACAUUAUAUAUCAUCAUUGCAGGACCUAUUCACGGUUGGAUUAGGCUGGAUGAUCUUUGGUGGACUCCCAUUCGACCUGGUAUUAUUCUUCACCUUCCCAUUUACUCUAUUGAUCCCAAAAUCGCCUAUCUACAAUUUGCUACAUCUCAGUACUGUAAUUUUGGUUCGUUGACGCAGAUGAAUGUGAUUGGACAGCUUCUUGGCUUCUUCGGAUCUGGUUUAUAUGCAUAUUACAAGAUCAUUGGGAGGUAGCUAGAGAAGGGUGACUGACUAUAAGCCGAGGCCCCAUUUUUUGACACAUUACUGGAUUAUAAAGGAACUGAUGUUUUGAGAUUGUUUUGCUCUUUAUCAUUUUCUUAUGUUCUUUCCGUUUGAAUAUAAACUAUAGAGUGACUCGGUCUUUUCUGGGAUCUAAUAUAAAUGCGUUCACAAAUCUUACUUUUCUUUGUUAACCAUGGUAUCAACUUAUUAAGCUUUCCUUGGUUUUCAUGGCGAUGUUACAAGUGAAAGGAUAGUAUGAAUAUCUUGUUAUAGCUCUAAACAAACGGUAGGCGAGACAAGUAGGAAGAGUUUAGCUGCGAGCAUGUUGUACUCAGUUUAACAUGAAAAGUGGAUGAAAGAAGACAAAUAAGAAAAAAAUUCAGAAGACACACCCAGUGGGACUCGAACCCACAAUCGCUUGAUUAGAAGUCAAGCGCCUUAUCCAUUAGGCCAUGGGUGCUUGUUGAUCUUCAUUCCCAUUAAAUCUUGUGAUUAGGUAAGUGUUUCUAUAUUGCUCUCUGAAAAAGCAAAACAUAUCUAACCGGGAAAAAGUAAAGUAAGCUGGAAAGAAGCAGAGAGAGAUCCCUGAAGUAAACCCUGUUUCCCUUCAAAGUAUCUCCACUAUCUCUCAUCCUCUUCCACUCUGACACUCAACUUCCACACUUUUAUCUUUCUUUAGUCUGGUAUAAGAAAAGAAAAGAAAAGGAAACCAUUUGUUCUUGUUCUUGAUUUUGCGAUGGAAGUUCCACGCCGCUCUUUGGCUGCUUCUCUCUCUCCUCUCCGCCUCAUCGAUGGUCUCCCUCGCCGGAGGAGUUUUAAUUAUAACCAGAUGCCUGAGGAGCCCAUCAAACUCACUGUUCUCAAGCUUGAUGGAUCUUCCUUUGGUACACAACCAUCAUCUUCUUGCUUUCUUGUUUCUUACCAUCAAUCUUCAAGACUUGUUUCUUGAGUUAGCGGUUUACGAUUUUGUAGGUAUUGAAGUAUUGAAGACAGCUACAGUAGGUGAGCUCAAGAUGGCUGUAGAAGCUGCGUUUUCUCACUUGCCCAUCACUGGCGUUGGCAAGGUCUCAUGGUAUGAGGACUCCUCUCCUCUUGUGUCUUUAUCUUAUAUGUAAUUCUUGAUGAUCUUAAUCUUACCCUGUGAUUAUCAUUUCGAUGAAAGGCCGCAUGUUUGGGCACAGUUCUGCUUAUCCUAUGGAGAUCAAAGACUGCUCAACGAGGCUGACUACCUCAUUGAGUUUGGCAUUAAAGACGGAGAUCAGGUUUGUUGUACUCGCCUCCCUCUUUUCUUCACUCAUGUAACAACUCUUCUAAAUGAAACUACAAAGUUUGAUUCAAAUGCAUCUUUUAAUUCUUUUGGACAAACAUCAUUCAGCUUAGGUUCAUCCGCCAUAUAUCAAACUACUGCACCAUGAUGGUGAACCAUAAGAGCAAGAAGACACCACAUGUUUCUUCUUUGAAACAACUCAAACUGUAAGAAGAGUCUUUUCUCUUUCCAUUUUCUCUUCAUGUUUUUAGCAUCUCAUCAGACAGAUACAUAUUUUAGACCAUCUAGGUUCUCUCUUAAACCCGAAACCUGGAAAAAGAAAGGAGCACAAGGACAAGAAGAUGGUGUUGACUCAGUCACCAAGACACAACCAAGCUUUCUAUCGACUGUAUUGGGAGGUUGGCUCUCUUACAAGUCAACACCAAGUCGGUCUAAACACAGAAACGUGACUGCUUCUACUUCGAGUCACCUCAGAGCUUUUAACAACAUCAUCGCAAGGUUUCGUUUCAAGUGUUACUCGGAGAAAGAUGUCUGGAACAGGAAAAAACUCAUCUCUGAAAACAUGAAAUAAUACUCAUUACUAUCUGUCUGCUUCUGAUUUGGUUCUUGUAGAGAUUUUGAUUUCCCAGUGUUCAUGUUUAUAUGUAAGAAACAAAUCAUAAGACAAGUCUGUGGUUUUAUAAAAGAUGAUGUUAUAUGCUUGAUACCAUCAAACAUCAUACAAGAGUCUUACUACGUUCAAAGAAAGUGAAACAAUGUUAUUAUGUACAUGUACCCAUACAUAGAUUAUAUAAGAGCAUUACCAGACCAAAGCAAUAUCCUUAAACACUGAACACAAGCCACUUUGAUUUGCCAGAGUCCUGACCAUCAACAAUCUGACAAUCACCACCUUGUCCACCAGAGCCAUCCCUCUGUUUCCCAUCCUUUGAUCUUCCUGCUUUCUUCCCAACUAACAACCCCAACUUCAUCGCUGUCAACAGACCCAUGGCAAUCAGCAAAGGUCUCACAGCCCAGUGAAAGUCCUCCAGAUGCUGAUACUUUUUCACAACUCCUUCACAUGUGUUGAAGUCCACAAUCUCCACUUCAGCUGGAUCCGCAAGACAGCUGCUUCCAUGUUCCUCUCCGAAAGGCAACGCUCCAGGGAACUCCACCUCGAGGCAACCGUUUGGUAAAACCUUAGAGAUCCUGCCCGUUGCCCAAAUCCCUCUACCUUUACGCAUCCACUUGAAUCUUGGGAUGACGACAUUGGCUUUGAUCUUCACGAACUGACCCACACUGUAUCCUUUAGCCAUCUGAAGCUGCGAUGAAGUUCCUUUCCAGAGAGUUGGCAGCCCUAUAAACCCAACAGCUACAUUACCCUCACGGUCUAUUGAAUGUAUAACACCAACAAGAGAGUGCCUCUUGUCUUCUCCAUCCUUCAGACGCACCCAAUCUCCAGCAGCUAAGCCGUUAGUUACCCGUUCAAGAACAGAGACAUGAACUCUUAACGGAUCAUGAACACCAUGGACUUUAACGAGAGCAAACUCAUCUGGAUCGGUGUCACGUUCUAGACCAACCACUGUUCCUUCUGGCACAUCCAUGUUCUCAUGCUUAAAAGAAUUGGCAGGCUUUCUUGAACGCACCGUGUCGCCCACUCGGAGUUGAUCCUUUGAAAGAAACCAUUCUGUGUAACCGAGAGCAGCCGAGCUCUUCCUGAUCUCUCUACUGUCAAUGCCUCUCCACACCUCUUCCUCCUCUGAGUCCUGCAAGCUGCACAAUCAUUUCCAGUUAAUAUCACAAACCAAGAUGGACGAAGACGGGCAAGAGACGGUUUACCUCUUCAAGACGUGUAAGAUGUCAGUCAUAGAUGGCCUGCUUCGAAGAUCAUACAUAAAGCAACCUCUAAGUAAGUUCUCAAGAGGAGGCGGUAUGCCACUGGGGAUGCUACUCUUUUCUUGCUUUCUGACCACUAAGUUGUAUAUCUCAUCGGCGGAUUUGCCACACCAAGGCUGCACACCGGUCAGCAUUUCCACAACGCUGCAACCAAACCCCCAAGAAUCAGUCUCAAAGGACAUGGGACCUCUUACUAUUAAUAUCACAAACCAAGAUGGACGAAGACGGGCAAGAGACGGUUUACCUCUUCAAGACGUGUAAGAUGUCUGUCAUCGAUGGUCUGCUUCGAAGAUCAUACAUAAAGCAACCUCUAAGUAGAUUCUCCAGAGGAGGCGGUACACCACUGGGGAUGCUAAUCUUUUCUUGCUUCCUGACCACUAAGUCGUAAAUCUCAUCGGCGGAUUUGCCAGACCAAGGCUGUACACCGGUCAGCAUCUCCACAACGCUGCAUCCAAACCCCCAAGAAUCAGUCUCAAAGGACAUGGGACCUCUUAAUUCCGGUUGCCACUGCUCUGGAGCCAUGUAGUUUGCAGUUCCAAGCCUCAUUGUCAUAUCAGAACUCGGCAGAGGGAUGCUAAGAAGGAGAUAAGGGACUCCAACGUCUCCGAGGAUGGCCUUGUCGUUAUCACUGAGAAGAAAGUUAGAGGGCUUGAGAUUAAGAAUCAGAAACCCUUUUGAGUGCAGCUCCAGGAUCCCUGUAACCAGAUCAACGCCGUACCUGUGGUUCAACAUAGAUAAAGAAGACAUUAGUAUCACUACUAGCUGCUUGCUUGUAUAAUGCAAUGUUACCUCAACACAUCAGGCAGUGAAAGCUUUCCUCCUUUAAGCCUAGCCAUCUUGUCACCAACACAGCCCUCAUAGAACUUCAUGAUAAUACAUAUCUACAAAACACAAAUUUUUAAACAAAAACGGAAACUAAGAGAAACCACCACAUGUUGUCUUUUUUAACUUACCCUUCCACUGAUACUAGAGACACCACGGAGCAUACAGACACUCUCAACCCCCUGACACUUGGAAAACAAAUCCUCAAACUUAUCAACCACAACCUUCCUCUGAUCCUCCUUGAUGGGAUGAAGCAUUUUGAUGGCGACUUCAUGAUGCUCAUCGUAGUCCUCGGUAGACUGAUGAUGAGUAGCCAACCAAACGUCACCAAAUGGACCUCUUCCAAUCCGGUGGCGAAGCUUCAAAGUUGCAGAGUUCAUCCAGGGGCUAGCACCGGUUGCUAAAGCGCUCUCGGAGCCACCUUCAAUGAUCUCGUACUCAGAAUCAUCAGGCUUCUGAGGAGCUAUCUUUGAAUCCAUAUCUGAAACCAGGAGAAAAAAAUAUAGUUUCACAAGUUACAACUCAAAGUUUGUUAAGUAAGAACUCAAAUCUCACAAACCUAUGUUUGGUAAUAAAAAGGAACAACCUUUCAGUUAUUUAACUAUCGUUAUGAAGCAAAAAAUGUGAAACAGAUUCGUCACAAGUCAGAUACGUGUGUGAGUUCUAUUUUGAAGAGAAGUAAGCGAUACAAACAAGGGACAAAGACAAGUGUCGUGGAGAUGUAGAAGUAGGAGAAGGAGAACAAGCAACAGUAUCCCAUCACAAUGGAACUCAAUUAGCGCAAGAUAUAGAACCAUAAGUCAAAUCUCAUUAGAUCAGAAUUUGCAAAACGAAUGUAAUUAAAAUGAAAGUUAACUCGAGUUACAAAGAAAAAAUCUCAAAAAAAAAAAAUCACGGAGAAGGAGAGUAACCGAGCAAUGAAGGAGAUAAACUUGCGUUAUGUCGACGGAUUAAGGCUUUUGAAGGUAGUGACGGCGAAGACAGAAGACAAAUGAUAGAAACCUAACACCGCCGGUAAUGAUAACUACAAGUUCCUGAUGAAAGAGAGAAAACAAACAAAUAACUUAGAGACGAUCAUCGGAAACUGAAACAAGUAACUUGAGAAGCUGAUAAAGACAGGGAACCGAGAGAGAGAGAGAGAGAGAGAACCUGUGAAGGAAGAAGGCGUGGAGGCCCCGUAAGUUUUUGUUUAAUGAGACACACCUUACCGUACUUAAUACCACAACCACAACAAAGCCCACUUUACUUCAUUUUAUGUCAACCAAAAAAAAACUCUUUUUAUUUUUAAUUUUGUUGUUAUUAAAAGCUUUUUUUUUUGGUUAAGAGGUUAUUGGUUGGUGUAUUUUGAUACAUUUGAAAAUCUAAACUAAAUUUUAGUGUUAUUGCUUCUAUGAUUUUAAAAUAUGUAUUGAAAUCAUGUGUUAUUGGUUUAAUGAUUCAUAAAUUUUAAUUCAAAUCAAGUGUUAUUCAAUCAUACGAAUUUAUUAAUAGAUUUAAUUUCAUAAUGGAUUUGAAUUGAUUUGCAUGAAUUUCUUUGUUAAAAAAUACAAAAACUCAAAUCCGAGGGAAAACCUCCGAAUUUGUAAAUAAUAAUCCGAAAAUUUUUGAAAUUUGUAUAUUUUACUUGGAUUUAUAAGUACUAUAUGGAUUUUUAAAUCAAUCCAAAUAUAUAAACCAAUAACAUCUAAAACAUAUUAAGAAAUUUUAUAUUAGUGCAAAGUACACCAUGUUUAGCUUAUCAUAGUACCGAUCACACAACAAAUACGAUUUCAUGAUUGUAUCCACGACAGUAAGACUGAGGACCAUAGCUUCAGGUGUUACGGUGGUGUGAGUGGAACAAGACUGUAAUGCUAUUCACACCAAGUAGUUUCCUCUCUUUUUCGUCUGUUGCUCAGGCGCUGUACAAACAAACAUCACAUCUCGUGACAACAAACGCCGACAACAGUGAAGGUUGAAGUUUGGGCUUCCUUGCUGGACCUGAGCCCAAGAGCCCAUUUUGCGGUUUUGUGAAUCUCCUUUAGUUCACAAAACAUCUUCAAUGUCUUCAAUGUCUCUCUGUUCUUCUUACUUCACUCGCAGACACAACCCUCAAUUGCUCUUUGUUUUCGUUUCAAGAAGAGACAUGUAAAUCUCGUGACAAUAAGAGUCUAUGAAGAUUCAUCCAAAAUCAAAUUUUCAAUCUUUAUCAAACUAAAUAAGAAAAGAGAGCUAAUCAUUUAUAAAAACUUACAUAUAAAAUUGUUGUUGAUUCAUCCAACGAUCAGACAAAGACAUAGAGAGAAAAGAAGAGAGAUUUACAGUAAUUUCAUAUAAAUUGAGGAUUGAGAAAAGACAGAACACACAAGAGUUUGUAUUAAGAAGGAAGAACCUUCUUGACAAUGUCUUCACUAAGAGCAGCGAUCUGAGAAUCAAGAGCCUUAAUGGUCUCCUCCUUCUGCUUCUCCAAGCUCGCCAAAGCUUCCUGCAGCUCCGCCUCCACCUUCUUCCUCCCUACCGCCAGCUGCUGCUCCACCUCCACCUGUCCCAACACAAACAACCAUCAAUGCCUUUCUCACAAUCAGACAUCACAAAUGUCAGUUAACGUUUCCCUUACCUCCGUCUCCUUCUUCAUCUUGUUAAGCGCGGCGGCGAUCUCAGCCCUAGCCGCCCUCAUCACAGCAGCCGCCUGUUCAUCGAGCGCCUUCACCUCAGUGGAAGUAUCCUUCACGCUCGCGAGCUUCUCCUUAAUCUCACCGUCUCUCUUAUCCAUAAAGUUCCCGAGGGGAGAGUAGUAGACUUUGUCGAGCGCGAACAUGAGGAAGAGAAACUCCACGACGAUGAUCGGGAGCGUCAGGUUGAAGUCGAAGAGCUGGGCCUUCUCCAUAGCUUCGGCCAUGGAAGGGGGAGCGAGGGCGGCGAUUAAAGCUAGAGACUUUACGGUGGCGGAGGAGAAAGACAGAGCCUUGCUGCUGAGGGAGGAGGAGGAGGAGGAGGAGAUGGGUUUGGGGAUCUGGGGGAGUUUGAUGGAUUUGGGGAGGUUGACGCGGGUUGGUUGAGUGGAGGAGGAGAGGGAGAUGAGGGGUUUGGAGGAAGCCAUUAUCGAGUUAGCCAUGGCGACACGAGCAGAGACAGAGAGAGAGGGAGAGAGCUUUCGCUUUGAGAGAUGAGAGAAUGCUCAAAAACUGAUCUCUCUGUGUAAUCUUCUUAGGAAUGUUAUCUCUUCUCUUCACCACACAAAUAAUCAAAGGCUGUGGUGGUGAGCUUACAAAUGUAAUGUAAGGACCCGAAAAAAAAUUAUAUAAAAACAAUAAACAAAUAUAAAAAGUUAUAUAUAAAAAAAAUUGCAUUUUUUAAUACUCUCCCGUUUUUACAAAAUCUUUAUUUUAGAAAAAGUAUAUUUUCUAUGCAUUAAUUAAUAAUAAAUUUUAAAAACAAUAGUUAUUUUAUUGUAAUUCAUUUGGUUAAAAUGUUAAAAUGGUUAAUUAAAAAAAAUAGAAAUUAAUGGUAUUAGCUUACUGUUAUUUUAUCACAAAUUUAAAGUAUUUGGAAAAAUAGUUAUUCAUUAAUGAUAAAUUUGAAAAGUAGUAUCAAAUUUGUGGUAUAAUUGAAAAUUUUCCUUAAUAUAUUUUAUACGUGUAAAAAUUGUAAAAUUAUAAUUCUUUUUAACAGACGGAGUUUAUAAUUACUUUUUGGUUAAAUCGCAAAUGUAAAUGUAAACAAAUGAUGUCAAACAAAUAAAUACCAGACUUGUCUUACCAUUAACCAUAAUGUCAUUGAAGAUCACAGAUGUUUUAUCCUUACAAGGUGACCUAAGAGGAUACAAGUCUCUUGCUACAUGUCUAACCUUCUCAAAGACAGUCCUUGAAUGCAGAACAGAUCUUAGUUUUGAGACAACAUAUUUAUUCAACACCCGGUAACUCUACAUAUAUCCACAUAAAAAAUCACAUCACAGAUCAAGCUUAUAAAGUUAAUCUGUAUGAUCUAAUCUUCACAAUCCAUUAAUGCAUGUGGAUGUAGUACCAUCAACGAUUCCUGCAUUCUCUAGGAGCUUCUCUGUCAAUGACCAGAGCCUCCCAACUUCUGAUUUCACCUCAGCAAUACAAUCGGCUGAACUGUUUUCGUUCUCUGGCACUACAAAGAAAUCAGAAUCUACCUCCACACUCAUGUCAGCUUGACUUAGAAGCUCUGUGCUCAUCUCCGCAAGCUUCUGUAACGCGCUCGUUGCAGCUUCCACUUCAAGUUGAGCUGCUUCAAGCUGAAGCUUCUCUAUAGCUAGAUCACCCAUUGUUCUCCCCUCGAUCCUCUCUUGCGCCAAUGCAUAUAGCAUUUUCAAAUCUUCACCGUCAUUAACCGUUUCUUCUUUUAGUUUCUUGACUUCCCUCUCCUUGGCUUCUAGUCUCCCCAUGAGUACAUUGAUCUCUUCGUCCUUCAACGUCAGAGCCCUCUGCGCAGCUAAAACUUCCAUCUCUUUCAACCGUAGAUUCUCUCUGGUGAAGUUUAGCUCCAUCACUAGCCGUUUGUUCUCCAUCCCGUAAUCACCAUAAGGUUGUUUCUCUAGUGGUUGUUGCUGCAUCUGAUCUUGAACCAAUCUGCUCGUCAGCUCUGCGAUUCUCUCCACCACCAUCUCAGCUUCACUGGCUUGAAUCUUGGAGCUGCCUAACUCGUCUUCGAUUCUGUUAAGGUGGACAUCUUUCUCCUUCAGUAAUUCAGUUGCCUGCGUAAGCUGAUCUUCUCUAGUUCUCAUAAGCAUCUUCAGCUCUGUAACCUCCCGGUUCACCACUUCCAAUUGAUUCCUCGCUUCCGUGAGCUCUUCAUCUUUCUCUUGCAGUAACAGCUCUAGAGAAGCCUGUUCAGACUUUAAAUGCUGAAUCUCUAGCUUAGCCUCCACCAAGCUUGACUCCUUCUCCUGAAGUAGAGUCUGUGAGACUUGAAACUCGUUUGUUUUCUUGUCAAGCUCGUCUUGUAUGGUGGAGACAUCAUGCAUAGCUUGCUCCAACAGAGACUUCUCUUUCUUCAACUCCUCUCGUAGCUCCUCCAGGAGUUCUUUUUGGAUUGAUAUCUCUCGCUCGAGUGCAAAGUUCUUAGCCUCCGCGACUCUGAGCUUUACUCUCUCACUCUCCACUUCACCGCGAGCGUCUCUCAAGCUUUGCAUAUACGACAACACGCUUCUCCUCUGCUCCUCAAGUUCCUCUAACUGUUUCUCUAAUAGCACUUCCUUUUCUCCCAUCUGCUCUCUUGAAGAUAACAAAACUUCCCGAGAUGAAACAAGCUCGAAUCUCACAUCGGUCAGAAGCUUCCUCACUCUCCUAAAGUCCUCCAUGGUUUCAUUAGCUUCUCCUAACCGCUUUACUGUCUCCUCCUGAAGCUUACUCACUUCCUCCUGAGCCACCAACCACUCUUCCGUCUGCUUCUUCAAGCUGGCUUCUGUUUCUCUGAGCUUCUCCUGCUCAAGCUUCUUCGCCGCCGUAGAAACCUCUAGCUCUUCUUCCUUCUCCUUGAGUGCUCUCUGAAGCGCUUCUAUCUCAUCUUCUUGUCUCUCCACAAUCUCAUUAGCUUGGAUCAAGAGCUGUGACUUGUUCUCAAACUCAAAACUCGCCACGGAAACCUCCUUGGUUUUGAUCGAAAUCUCAACGCGCAUUCGAUCCAGCUCACGUUCUUUAAAAGUCAAUGACGCUUGCAUAGCAACAAGCUCCUCGUCUCUUUCCNNNNNNNNNNNNNNNNNNNNNNNNNNNNNNNNNNNNNNNNNNNNNNNNNNNNNNNNNNNNNNNNNNNNNNNNNNNNNNNNNNNNNNNNNNNNNNNNNNNNNNNNNNNNNNNNNNNNNNNNNNNNNNNNNNNNNNNNNNNNNNNNNNNNNNNNNNNNNNNNNNNNNNNNNNNNNNNNNNNNNNNNNNNNNNNNNNNNNNNNNNNNNNNNNNNNNNNNNNNNNNNNNNNNNNNNNNNNNNNNNNNNNNNNNNNNNNNNNNNNNNNNNNNNNNNNNNNNNNNNNNNNNNNNNNNNNNNNNNNNNNNNNNNNNNNNNNNNNNNNNNNNNNNNNNNNNNNNNNNNNNNNNNNNNNNNNNNNNNNNNNNNNNNNNNNNNNNNNNNNNNNNNNNNNNNNNNNNNNNNNNNNNNNNNNNNNNNNNNNNNNNNNNNNNNNNNNNNNNNNNNNNNNNNNNNNNNNNNNNNNNNNNNNNNNNNNNNNNNNNNNNNNNNNNNNNNNNNNNNNNNNNNNNNNNNNNNNNNNNNNNNNNNNNNNNNNNNNNNNNNNNNNNNNNNNNNNNNNNNNNNNNNNNNNNNNNNNNNNNNNNNNNNNNNNNNNNNNNNNNNNNNNNNNNNNNNNNNNNNNNNNNNNNNNNNNNNNNNNNNNNNNNNNNNNNNNNNNNNNNNNNNNAUGUCUAUCAAAAAUCCACCCGCAAAGAAUCAGCCUUUUGGCGGCAAAACAGUUAUGUUAGGUGGUGAUUUCAGACAGAUCCUACCAGUCAUUCCGCAAGGUGGAAGAGCUGAUACUGUAUUAGCUUCGAUAAGCCAUUCAUAUAUAUGGAAUAGCUGCCAGAAGUUCUCUUUGAAAACAAAUAUGCGAGUAAAUCAGGAUGAGAAAGAGUUUUCUGAAUGGCUUCUCAGAGUCGGGGAAGGUCGUCUAGAAGCAGAACAAGAAUAUGAGGAGGAUGGGUACCAUGACCAAUUCAUAGAUAUCGAUGAAUCAUUGAUUUGUCAGAGUUUUGUUGACCCAUUGAAAGAAGUUGUUGAUGCCGCAUAUGGACAAAUCAGCAGCCCGAUGAAUUCCAAGACUUCCUACACCGAUAAAGCUAUCCUCACACCCCGUAACGAAACCGUUGAUGAAAUCAAUGCUUACACCAUCUCACGGACCGACGGGGUAUCAAGAGAUUACUACAGCUCAGACAGCUUUGAGUUAUCAGAUACUACAUCAGAUCAAAAUGAUAGACUAUACUCCAUUGAGUAUCUUAACUCAUUGGAAUUCUCGGGUUUGCCUUCGCACAAACUUACUCUGAAAGUUGGUGCCCCAGUUAUGCUUCUCAGAAACAUAAAUCAGAAAAAGGGAUUAUGCAAUGGUACGCGGAUGAUCCUAACCCACGUUGGUGAACGCGUUCUGAAGGCCGAGAUCAUCACUGGAUCCCACAUUGGAGAAGAGGUCUUGAUCCUAAGAAUUGUGUUUUUGUAUGAUGAAACAAAAUUACCGUUCACAUUACGUCGGCGGCAAUUUUCUAUCAGAUUGUGCUACGCAAUGACAAUCAACAAAAGCCAAGGCCAGAGUUUAAAAGAGGUCAUCUUAUAUCUGCCUCAACCAGUCUUCUCUCAUGGUCAACUUUACGUGGUCCUCUCCCGUGUCACAAGCAAAGCAGGAUUAACGAUCAUCAAAACUGAAGAUCCCCACCAGCUGAAAGUGAAGAAUAUAGUCUACAAAGAAAUAUUCAAAGGCCUUCAUCCCGAGACAAGUAAUUUUAAAUAAAUUAUUUUUUUCCUCUCAUCUUUUUCAGAAAUCUGAUAAAAUAUUAUAUUCACAGAUUAACAAUCUCGAAAAUAUAUCGACCAAGCGAUGAUACAAGCCAAUAAAGAAGAGACUUACACAUAGGUUUACUCCACCUAAGCCAGGUACAAAACUUUUAAUAUAAAUAGCAAUACUACUAUAUUCAACUAAACUUAUGCUGACUAACUAUUCUUAUCCAAUUUCAGGUCUUUUCUUUCUCAUGACCCUCAAAAAAACUUCUGAUCUGCGAAAGACUUAAUCUGCUUCCUCCAUUAUCUACUUUACUUACAGUUUUUUUGGCUUUUAAACAUUUGCGUAAACUCGAUAUACACAAAUUUUCCACACAUAUUAUAACACACAAUCUUUCCAUCUCAAACAAAAAUAUUGAUUACCAACAAACUUUUUGUGUUCAAACAAACAAUACCUACAUCUAAUAUGAUAUUUUGGAUCAAAAUUUUAUUAGAAAAUAACCCGGGCGUAGCCCGGGAACUGACCUAGUCAUAAUAAUAGUUGCUCACAAGAAAAAGAAACAUUCUUAAGGUUACGAUAAUAAUAGUCGCUCAAAACAAAAAAAAGUUUACCAUAAUCUUAUACAAUAAAUAUGGCUUUUUUUUUUCCCCUAGAGGGAAAAAACACGUCUCGCACAAUGUUUUUAAUUUUCAAAGAUUCUUUGUCGUUACAAUCUCUUAAUAAAGCUGGCCUAUGUUACAUUUUUUUUUACAUUAUUGUAAAAGCCCAAGCCCAAAAUUGCUUAAAACAAAGUCGAAGUUUUAUAUCCACUAGCUCUUACCCUUGCAUCGCCUCACCUUCUUCAUCUUCCUCAAUCGCGUCGGCUUACCCAGCCGUUUCAACCUCGACUGGCAUUCCUCCAUAACGUCGGCUUAGCACGUUUUUCCGUCUUAAAACUAGCGCCGCUAUCAAUCGAUCACAUUUAACCAAUGAAAAAGGAAGUACAUCAACAGAGAAGGCAACGACAACCAUAGAUUUUUGAAUUAAAAAAGUGAAUAUAAUGAUAAAUGUUCUUUGUUAAAUAACACAAAUGGCAAACACUCCGAACUCUCGUGACGGUAACAGUCUAUGAAGAUUCAUCCACAACAGUUCAUCGAAAUUUUCAAUCAGAAUCAGACUCAAUAAGAAAAGAGAGCUAAUCAUUUAUAGAAACUUACAUAUAAAAUUUGUUCUUCUUGAUUCAACGAACAAUCCAAGAGAGACACAGAGAGAGAAGAUGAGAGAGAUUUACAGUAAUGUCUUAUAAAAUGAGAUUGAGAGAGAGAGAGAGAGAGAACACAGAAGAGUUUGUUUUUAAGAAGGAAGAACCUUCUUGACAAUGUCUUCACUAAGAGUAGCGAUCUGAGAAUCAAGAGCCUUAAUGGUCUCCUCCUUCUGCUUCUCCAAGCUCGCCAAAGCUUCCUGCAGCUCCGCCUCCACCUUCUUCCUCCCUACCGCCAGCUGCUGCUCCACCUCCACCUGUCCCAACACAAACAACCAUCAAUGCCUUUCUCACAAUCAGACAUCACAAAUGUCAGUUAACGUUUCCCUUACCUCCGUCUCCUUCUUCAUCUUGUUAAGCGCGGCGGCGAUCUCAGCCCUAGCCGCCCUCAUCACAGCAGCCGCCUGUUCAUCGAGCGCCUUCACCUCAGUGGAAGUAUCCUUCACGCUCGCGAGCUUCUCCUUAAUCUCACCGUCUCUCUUAUCCAUAAAGUUCCCGAGGGGAGAGUAGUAGACUUUGUCGAGCGCGAACAUGAGGAAGAGAAACUCCACGACGAUGAUCGGGAGCGUCAGGUUGAAGUCGAAGAGCUGGGCCUUCUCCAUAGCUUCGGCCAUGGAAGGGGGAGCGAGGGCGGCGAUUAAAGCUAGAGACUUUACGGUGGCGGAGGAGAAAGACAGAGCCUUGCUGCUGAGGGAGGAGGAGGAGGAGGAGGAGAUGGGUUUGGGGAUCUGGGGGAGUUUGAUGGAUUUGGGGAGGUUGACGCGGGUUGGUUGAGUGGAGGAGGAGAGGGAGAUGAGGGGUUUGGAGGAAGCCAUUAUCGAGUUAGCCAUGGCGACACGAGCAGAGACAGAGAGAGAGGGAGAGAGCUUUCGCUUUGAGAGAUGAGAG